rnacentral:lncRNA from 1 species
AAUCGAUUGCUUCUGCAGACAAUGUCAAGGGUGGCAGGUACGAUGGAAACCUCUCUACAUGGGAAAACUCCGACACUCCACCCCUUUCUUCUUGGAAACCUGCCUAGAAACAUGUCUACUUCUUUUGCUGCGUCUUUGAUAUGCAGAGUUUGUGCAUUUGCCGCUGAAGUAAUUUGAGGCUAUGUUGUGUGGCUUUUAUAAGUAUGUGUAAUAAGAGUGACUGUUUUCGUUUUGUACAACAUGUGACAUUCACUAUGAGAAGAUUAUGGAUAUGUACUAAGCUUACUGGGGAAAGAUCACUCGAUAAACACAAGAGCGAGUUGAAUAUGAACUGAGCCUGCCAUGCCGACUUUAUCGGGGUGACUUUUAGAAUCUGAGAAAUCGGGAUUUUGAAGAAUUCAAACUCAGUCGUACAUACUAAGUGACGCUUUAUUCUCCUCCAACCAUGAGUUCAAUACUAACACCGUGUGCAACAUACUCUUAAGACUGGAUGCUACACAUAGAUACAAUGCUUCGCUUUGUGUUUGGUUUGGUAGCGAAGUAAAGGAACAGUAAAAUGUUACCGGAUGUUCUCGCAAAAACAAAGUUUGGGAUAAAAUGCUGGCGUAGUUGAUAUGAGUGUCGGGGAAAUCAAAGGUUUCUUGUUCAAGUUUCACCACCUACGGUGCAUGAGCUUUUAUGUAGCUCGAUACCUUUGCUCAUGCCUCUGCAUUAUUAUAAAACAGUCGGAGAUAUUGCGCAAGUUUCCUAAAAUUAAAAACGACACUUCUAUUGUUUUUUAUUUGGAAUUAGAGUGGAGCAAUGUUGUUUUGUUUUGGUUUAGGAAAAUAACGCAAAUAGUCAUUAAACUUUGGUCCAAUGUGUUAUGUUCUUACUGAACUUUUAAUUUAUUUAGUAUGGUUGUCGAACUUUUUGUACAUGUUUAAUUUAGAUCCUAGGCUAGAUAAAUCUAAUGACGCUGUGUUUGGUCGUUCGAACAUCUUUGCUAUAUGGGAUAAUGAUAGGAUAAAAAUCCCAUCUAAUAUUUCUUGACGUCCGGAUAUAACAUGAUUCAAAUAAAACAAAUUUAAAUGAGUGUUUGAUUUGUAUAAUUAAAAUUAAAAGUAAACCAUGGAAGUCGUGAAUAGUAUUCAUCCUUUCACAAUCUUCAUCGAUAUUAAACACCCCCGUUCCAUGUGACUUCAAGGACGCUCUCCUUCUGCAACGCCCCUUUCGCUGCCCUUGAUCAACUUGAUGGAUUACGCUCGCUCUACCUUUGACUUCGCCACAUUGAGAGGCCCUUGGGUUUGAGUUCUCCGCUGGUCUAGCCAUCUUUACUUUCAACGCCUUUUCCUGCGAUGAAUCCAUCCCCUUCGAUGAGUGUGAAUACUGCGUUGAUUCCCUGUUACCGUGUCCCGACUUGUUCAGUCACUUCAACAGCUUCCCCGAGACAGCGUGCGGAUCCGGUUUAUGAGUGGUAGCAGCAUCGGUACAACUCGCUCCAAGUGACGUGGUUGAGGAGCUCUAUCACCUUGGCUGCUGCCUCUUUCGGAUCAUCUUCUUCACAGAGGAGGUGUCCAGCUUUGAUCGGGAUCACAAAGUUCCCAACUAAAAUGGAGUUAAGUGACAUAAGAAAGAGGCAGGGCUGACGAGCUCCGGCGCCACUUUUCCGAGGCAGCCAAAGGUGGUAAGCAGCUUGUCACUGGUAGGAGGAACGGUGGCCCUUAGAGUUUGCUCAGGUCGUUGUGGCGAGGGCUUCUCUAGGUAUCUUCGUGAUACUCAUGCUUUAAGUUUGUGGUGGUCAUUUUAGCGAGAAAAAUCGGAACGAGAGAGAGAUGAUGGUGGCACUGGUAAAAAAUGAGGAUAAGCCAUCAACAAGCGCAGGAGUGGGGGAAAAACUUGUAUCCCUUAUUUUUUCAAUUUUCCAAAUUUCACAUAUCCUAUCUAGAUCUAUAUCACUUUUUAGAUGGGAUUUUUUAUCCAGACUAUAUCUAAAUUUCACUAACAUCGGGACCCCUAGAGUGCCAAAAGUUUGCACAAAAAGACAAUUAAGUGUCAAAAGUUAUGAAAAUGACACUUAAGUGCUAAAAUUGGAAUAAAAUAGAUCACUUAAGUGCAAAUCUGGUCAAAAUAUUGACAUGACAAUUUUCCAGCAAAACAAGUGCAAAACGGUGUCGUUUUGGUGCUGACAUGGAAAAAAUUAAUACAAAAAUUAAUUAAAUGAAAUUUAAAAUUAAAUUUAAUUAAAACAUUUAAAAAUAAAAAUACAAAAAUUUUAAAAAAGGAGAGAGGCGGUUGAGGGCUGAGCCCUUGUCGCUAGGAAGGGUCGGAGAUGGAGGGGGGAGGGUUAGCCGGGGUUGCCGGGCCCUAGGCCAGGGGCCGGCGACCUCGGCCAACUGGUGGCAAGGGCCCGCGAGCCCUCGCCUAGUUUUGGGGCGAGGGUUGCGGCCCUCACCUAGUUGAGCCAAGGGCCGCCGAUCCUCGCAGAAUCUGGGUGAGGGCUGCAACCCUUACUAGAUUUGGGCAAGGGCUCGUGAGCCCUCGCUGCCGGUUAGUUGGGGUCGCUGGCCCCUAGCUAGGGCUCAGCGACCAUGGUUGACCCUCCCCCCUCCGUCGUUGACCCUUCACGGUGACGACAGCGAUGGCUCAACCCUUAGCUACCUCCCCUCCCCCCCUCUUUGUCUCUCUGUCUCUGUCUCUCUCUGUCUAUAUAUAUAAAUAUUUAUGAUUUUUUAAUACUUGUAUUUGUAUUUUUAAAUGUUUUAAAUAAAUUUAAUUUUACAUUUAAUUUAAUUUACAUUAUUUUUUUACCAUAUUAACACCAAAACGACGUCAUUUUUGCAUUGUCUAGCUACGACAGUGUGCAAAAUGAUGCCGUUUUGCACUUACUUCGCCAGAAAUUGCGUACAUCAGAGCCAUGAUUUCGUUUGUAAUAAUAUCCGUUCCAUAUGCUUAAUAGGUGAAUCCAAUGCUGAGAAGGUUUCUUCACAUCAUGACAGAUCUAGAAAUACUAGAAGCAUCUGUUUCUCUUACUGCAUCUCCAUCUUUUUCAACCCCUUCAGAUUUUCAUGUUUUAAAUGCUUCUAAGAUAUACUAUCUCUAUGAAAUCUCUCUUAGCGAUGAAACCAAAAUCUCUGAAACUUAACUUUCCCUGAUGAACUCAUAUUUUGCUUUUGCUAAACCCACCUCAUCCUUUUCUCCCAUUCGUUCCAUUCGCCAACUUAUUCGCCAAACUCCAAAGGAAGUAAAUGAGUACGUUAAGUCCUUCAAGUUCGACCAACAUCCCAUUCUCGCCAUUGAAAAUGAGUACUUUGUUACUCUCUAGAUUCCUCCAGAGUUUCCUAGGCAAUAGAUUCAAAAAGGAUAGUCUCAUGUCCAUUAUGGAGUUGUUCGUCUUGCUCUUACUUUUUAUGGCCGCAAGGGCUUGCCAGUUGUGGCAAGAAUAGCAUUACUGGAUACUAGAUUUCUAAAGUACUAGUAUACUUGUAUCAGUACUAUCCAAACCACUUUAAAUGUUGGAAUAGUUUUUGUGACUUUGUAUCCAAAUUUCAAUUUGCUCUUUCAAAUCCACAGUUACUUUCCUUUUUGAAAGUCUAAGUUUAGCUCACUGGAGCACCUCAGACAGCUGAUUCUGUUGUUGCAACACUACACUACUAGAUCGUUUAUUAAGUGCAGAACCAUGCUCUUGACUUGAAUUUCCACAAUGAAAAUGAAGAUGCUUUAUUCAUCUCCAUGCAAAAUGAUCAUGCAUCCUGCAUUCAUGUUCCCAGACAUAUCCCAAAGGAAAAGUUGCCAAGCUUCUUCUAGAGACUUGGAUCACUAACUAUGAAAAGUUACAUCAGAAUAACAAACCUUUCUAGUCUUCAGACUUUGAAUUUGUCAGAAAGAAAGAUGGAACUGUUUCCAUCAAAUUUGGCAAGGAAAAUAAAGAAAUUCUUUUUAUCUUCCAAAUCCUCUUUAUGAUCGAACCAUGUGUUCCGAGCUAGAUAAAAAAAAAAGAAGCUUGUUUAAUACUUCAAAAGUGAUUAACAUCAUGUCCAUUACUACAAAGACUAGUAUGGUCACUGUUUCUAAGAUCCUUUUUGUCAAUGUUCUUUUUGCACAAACUCUCCCGACGAGGUAGACCCAUAUGCAAGACCUCGACGGAAGCAUAAGAAGCCAAAAGAUCCUAUGUACCAAAGGUACUUGAAUGGAGAUCCCUCCGUUGAUACUCUUGGUGAGUGUGAUAAAUUCUAGUUUAUGGUUUCCUAUACACCAACUCCACCACCAGAGUUCAUUACUCCACUAAUAUCACCAAGUUCAUCACCAUCACCUCCUCCAUCUCCUCCAAAAAAAAAAGAAAACCAACUCUUUCCCCAUUUUAUAAGCCAAUCUUAAAGUGGGCGAAUAAAUAUUCCUACCCACUUGAGGCUCUAGCAGAACACCACCAAGUUCUUUCAUAGCCAUGUUCCAUGAGACAUACUUUCCUCUUUUUAUUCGAGAAAGUUAUAAUCUCGUUUCCUGCUCCAAAAGAAUUCAUUGAUCUACAAGGCAGAUAUCGGCAUGCCCCUAAGAUACCUACCCCCACUGAUGUGGAUGGACAUGGAAGAUAGAAAAGGACUCCUGUUGUUGAAGCUGUCCUAAAUUGGCAAUCGGAAACUCUUUUAGCAUAUAACAAUGCGUUCAAAGCAAUUGAUUCCAAGAUUGUAAAUGUGCAACAAGAUUUUCGAAAUAUGAUGAAACCACCAAGAAGAUGCUUUCAGAUUUCCAAAAGAGGCUUCAUGCCUUGGAAUCUAGAUAACAUUUAGGGUGUCAUCAUCUCGAAAGUCCUAAGGUGGAAAUAGAGAAGCUCAAAAGGCAAAUUCAACUCCUUGAAGAAGGAAGAUUCAAUCCAUUUCCGACUACUUUGCGGACAGAGCAUCCCCCUCUUCCACUAGCCCAUAACACAUCUAUCUUUGUUGCUAUCACAGAUGUUCUUGUUAGGCAAGAUAAGACAAAUGUGGCUGAAAUGCGAAAUCUUCUCAAAGAACUGGACUGAAUAAGAAAAGAAAAGGGAAAAGAGAAGAUGCCUAAAGAAUCCUUGCUUGUCAUAAGGAAAAAGCCAGAUCAAUUGAUGCUGUCGAAUCUAUUAGAAUCUUUCCGAAGAGAUUUGGGUAAUCAGGAAUCACAGUCUGAUCUUGUUACUCAACAUCUUGAUCCCGUCAUUCCAACAGAUCAGAUUCUAUUUUCAGCAGAACUAGCUUUUCCAAAUAUCUUUGAUACUGAAUUAAAUUCGGUAUCCCUCUUGUCCUCCUCAUCCUUCUCAAUCCCUACCAUUGAUUCCUUCCCUAUUGUACUAGUAAUUUCAUCAAUAUUCAUGAUCGAUCAUCCGGACCAAGAUAUGGAAUCAAACCAUUCUGAACCAAAGGUUGUUUAGCCAAACAAUCCCUCCCAGCACGUGUAUUUUGCAUCAAAAUAGUUUAUUUAUUUAUUUAUUUAUCGUUGAUGACAUUCCCUAUCACAAAUGGCCAUAAAGACUUGAAGAAUUUCAUACUUGGUUAAAUACCCAAACCCUUACCAACCAGGAUAAGUAUGAUGUCAUUUUUGAUUUUGUCACAAGGUUUACAGGUAGCCUCAAAUAUUGGUGGCAAUCUGUGUUAGAACAAGACCGGCUUCAAUUUUUACUCUCACUUGAUUUUGGUCAUGCCAUUAUCCUUCUAUAUCAUUUCUUUGUGGGAAAACCUUUUGACCUCCAAGAGCUUAAAAGGAGAGAAUUUUUCGAAAGAAGAUGCUGCUUCUUCCAGAAAAAAACAUCUUGAUAAAUAUUAUCGAGAAAUGUUUAAGCUCUUCUAUGGUAUUGGAGCUGAUCCAAACCAGAAACGCAUCUUCUUGACUUCCAUCCCCAAAGAAUUGUCUCAAUAGGUGGAGAGAACUUUUCUCAGCAAACAAAGAAGGAUUCAGGAUAUUCCGUUAGGAGAAAUCUAACAAGAAAUUCAUUUGUGCCUUGAAGAAUUGUGUAUCAAAUGCCAAAUGAUCCAGACUUAUGUCGACAAUAACAGAGAACUUGAUAUAGCAUGUUCUCGCCAUAAGCUAAAGAUCAAAUGUUCAAAGCGAGAUUGUGAUGGUUCUUGCGGAAAAUUUUCCAGAAAAAAGCACUUCAAGAAGCUCUGGAUAAUGAAAUCUAGGCGUGGCUCUAAGCAUUUUUGAAGAAAGAAGAAAUGGCGACACCUAUGCAAAAGGAAAGAUCACUCAGGCCACAAGAAGUCAAAUCAAUGCUUCAUCUGCAAUUAGAAAAGACAUUUUGCCAAAAAUUAUCCCCAAGCGAGAAAAUGUCAAAAUCAUAUGAUAUAUCAUAUAGAGAAUGAAACAGGUAAUUCUCUUGAAAAUGAUAAUAUCGAAUCUUUAUUAUCUGAGAAUGAAGAACCAUCUGAAUAAACUCUUUGUGUCAUUCCUUGUUACGAAACUUCUAGUGAAAUUGAUUCGGAUUCAAAUCCUGAAGAUAUUUUUCACAUAUCUCUCACUUCUUCAGAAUAAAGCACUAACAUAUUUUCAAGCUAAAUUCAUUGUCCCCAUUUCCCUGUGAAAAUCUUCACUUCAAAGUUUGCCAAGCCUUUCAUUGUCAUUGCUCUCAUAGAUACUGGAGCAAGUUCUUCAAUCUUGGACACCAAAGUUAUUCUUGAAGAAUAUUGGACUUCCUAUGUUUGAUACUUCAAUUCUACCUCAGGAGAUACUUUUUCUACGAAUGUAAGAACUACCCUAGUAAUCAUCUAAUUUUUUCCACAGUGUUCCAUAACCAUAAAAAUCUCUGGUUCCAGUCUUCCCCACAAGGAUUUGAUCAUUGGCUGGGAUAUCAUGACUAAAAUUUCUCAACUUCGUAUCAUUUCUAGAAAAUGUCUUAAGUAUAAGGACUAAUUUUCUAAAUUCGUCAAUAUCCAAAGACUUUUUUUCCAUCCAAAUGAGCCUGCUAGACCCCAUCAUGCAAAAGUUGUUAAAAUCAUGUUUGGAAUUUCAUUUUGAAUUUGCUCAAAAAUGUUCUCACCCUCUAUGGGAAAAUUUAGAGUUCUUUGUUUGCCUUCCUUUUUUAAAAAAAAAUGAGGAUAUCAAUCUAAACAAGGCGAGUUACAUGGGAAUGAAGUCAGAACACUUGGUUUUAACUCAAAGGGAAUGUUCGGAACUAUUGCAGCAAUGCCUUAUUGAAAUCUCCAAUUCUCAAUGGGCCUGUGAAGCUUUUUUAUGUCAAUAAGCGUGCCGAACAAAAUAGAGGAAAUAUGAGAAUGGUAAUUAACCAUCAGCCUCUUAACAUUUUUUUCCAAGAUGAUAAAUUCCCUUUACUCUCCAGAAAUUCCCUAUUUACUAGAUUAUCCAAAGCCCAUAUUUACUCUAAAUUCAAUCUCAAAGCCAGAUUUUGGCAAUUGUGCAUCCAUCCUAAAUACAGACCCAAGAUAGGGUUCUGUAUCAUGAACCAACAUUUCCAAAUGGAAAGUUAUUCAUUUUGGUCUAAAGGUGGUACUAUCCUUAUUCCAAAAGGUCAUGUGUCGAAUUUUCCAACUAAUUUUGUCAAGUGCAGUAAUAUACAUUGACGAUAUCGUGCUUUACAAUCUUAAUGAGCAGUCACACUGCCAACUUCUUAAACAGUUUGUAGAAAUUGUGUAAAAGCAUGGGAUCAUGCUUUCUCAAAAAAAGAUGAACAUUGUCCAUAUAUAAAUUGAAUUUCUUGGUAUGACCUUAACAAAGGUAUGUAUUAUCCAUGGCCAUAUAUUGCUCAUGAAUUGUUGAAAUUUCCUGAGGAAAAUUUCACAACAAAGCAAGUUCAGCAAUUUCUUGGAAUAAUUAAUUAUCUCAAAGAUUUCGUUCCAAACAUUGCAGAACUGUUGAUUCCAUUGAAAUUGAUGCUGAAAAAGAAUCCCCCACCUUGGAGAAAAUCUCAGACUAAAGCAGUCGUCGAACUUAAGGAGAUUAUGUAGACUCUUCCUCUGUUACAAAUCCCAUCGAUAAGGAAGAUAAUUCUCUAGAUCGGCGCCAGUGAUGAAUACUGGACAGCCAUCUUGUUUGAAGAAAUUGAUGGUAAGAGACAUCUGUGUACCUAGAAAAGUGGAAAAUUUUCCCAAGCUGAAAUGCAUUAUCAUUCCACUUUCAAAGAAAUCUUGGUGAUGAAAAAUGGAAUAAAAAAGUUCGAAUUCCAUCUCAUUGGCCAUCACUUCAUGGUAAAAUUGGAUAUCCUCAGAUGAUCAAGUUCAAACAGAAGCAGAUUUCGAAUUUUCAACUGCUUCAAUGGGCUGAAUGAUUUUCAAAAUACUCUUUUGAAACCAAACAUAUUGCCGGAAAAAAAAAUGUGCUUGCUGACUUCUUGUCAAGACCAAAAGCACCAGUAAAAAUCAACAUGUACAUCAUGAGGCAUGCUUUUCAUAUUCUUCAUAACAAUGAAAAGUAUAAGAUUGAAAGAAUACAAGACUAGUCAAGCUGGCAAUAUUACUAGGAGAUUGUGGAACAAAUCUAGAAUGACUGCCUUAUUGAAAAUUUGGAUAAUCUCAUGUGGCAAUUCCACACAGAUCUGUUUAGAUUUAAUGGGGGUUCGAUUCUUUAUCUUUUUAGAUUAAAUUCAGACUAUCCGUUCAUACAUCCUUUAAUCUGGAAGGAAGAUAAUUUCCCUGACCAACUUCGAUGGUUAUUAUGGUACUUAACCAAUAAGUACUGAAUAGUAUUGAAAUUCCAACUAGAAGAUUUAUUACCAACCUCACUAGGAUAUUUAGACUUGGCAGAUGAAACAUUGAAAAAGAGAGUGACAGAAAUCUCAUAGGUUUCCUUAAUUGGUUUUAUCCCUCUACUCACUGGAAAUACCUCUUGCAGAAAGAGCUGAGAACCACACAACUAAACCCUGAGGUCCAUAUUAUUUUGUUUUUUCGACGACCGUGGGCUUUUGUCACAAAUAAUGGUAGCAGUAGCAAUGCCCCCCAAAUUAUAGGUACCACAUCCUAUAAACCUCAACCACAUAGUGUAGAAGCUCAGAUUUACAAAUCUUAUUUAGAACCCGUUGGUUGCUACGAGCACCAGUAUCGAGAACUCCAAAGGAUUUUGUACUAGGAAAAUAAAAUCAUUCCUAAAGAUGCAUGGAACUAUAAUGUACCCACUGUAUGAGAUUAUUAUAGUCUCACACUAGAAGUUAAGGAAGCACUCGAAAUAUUCAGACAAGUUACAUCAUCACAGGAGCAUGAAAUGGCAGACACAGAUGACAUCGCACAGUCCUCUCAAGAUCCCUAUGUCAAAUGGGGAGGUCCUCUUUCUCAAGAUCCCUAUGACCAAGAAACUUUGUCCUUAUCUCAAAGCAUUGACACAUCCUACUAUACUCAGUCAUCCAAUUGGUCUCAGCUAAGCAUUCUUGCCAACACUACAGGCUCCUCUUAGAAUCAAGCGAAAGCAUCCUCGUCAAAUCAAAUUCUCUCACCAGAUUCACUUGUAGGACUUGAGAAAAAAAUAUGAAGAAUAGCUUAUGUCAAUGUAUAGUUCGGACGACUCAGACUAUGACUAUAAUGCUCGUGAUGGACGAGACUAUUGACCGUACAAGUCACUGUAGCAAGUCACUUUUCACUUUCAUUGUAGCAGUAGACUAGGGAAAUAACUGUUCAUUAUCAAUGUUCAUAUCGUGCGAAUAAUCUCCUAUGCCUUUAUUUGUUUCAAGAUUGUGAGAAUGAUCCUUGUUUAUGUGUGACCUCUUAUUGCCUAUAAAAGACAAGAAUGAUGUAAUGUGUUGGGCAGAGUCCCUUGAAGUAAAGUGAGUAUUUUGUGUAAAACUCUCUAUGGCUUUAUAAACUUAUCUUCUUCUCCAGUCUGGUAGGAUCAUUUGAGAAAUGUAGUUCGGAUAGUUAGAAAUGUUACCAUCCUGGUUCUAUAUGAGUGUUUCUAGACUCUGAACUAAAGGGAAGAGUGGUUUUAUGUUAAAAGGCUGUCUCUGAAGGGCUUGAACGGAAGAGGUUCACCUACUGUGGGGUAUGCCAACUUUUGGCACUUGAAAUAAUCUUUUGCCGAAUUUCACGUUACUCUAAACACCGGAUAUGAUCAAACUUUUACUAUCAAAGUUUUAUCUAGCCCAUCAAAGGCAGUCUUAUGAGAUAGGAUGCAAUGAUAUAAUCUAUGAAUUAGAUCAAACAUUUAUUAAAAGUUUAAGAACGAUAUUUCAUUUUUUGAAUGUUAGGAUGCACGAGUAAGUUAUGUUAAAACAAUCCCACAAUAUAUUGAUAGCUUUGAAAUAAGGCUUUCUCUUGGUGAUGACGAAGAUCCAUAUGGAGAAAUUAAUGGGAGGGUUUGUUUGGCCUAACUAAAUGAGAGGCUAUAUCAGUGGGAGGUUUUUCAUUGUAACCUUGUGCUUGGUAUUUGUAUUUUAGUAAAGGAUUUUGUUAGCAUAAUAGUUUCUGAGUUAUUGUGAGAAUAACAACUUAUUAUGAGUUACAAAAUUUUCUCUUUCUUUUUUUCUUCACUUCCUUCUCCUUCCUCCAACCAAUCAUCACUAGUGAUUGGCAAGAGGCAAGGUUGGUGAGGUACCUCGCUGGUCUCGAGGAAGCUUGACCAUGGUUAGGCAACCUUGCUCAUGGCUAGGCGACCUCGCCUAGGCCGCCAACUGGGCUGGUGAGGGUUGACCCUCGACGGCCAUGGGUGAGGACAAAUGCCGCUAGUUGGGCUUGCGAGGCUCGCCCUUAUUGAAUUUGGCGAGAGUUGAGUCUCAUUGGCCAUGGGUAAGGUCAAAGGCCGUGACCUCACGUGGUCUUUGGUGAGGCUUGCCAAAGGUUGGGCAAGGCUCACCGUCGUUGGACUGAUGAGGGUCGAGUCUCGUCGGCCAUGGGUGAGAUUGCAACUUGCCCAUGGCCGGCGAGGUGAGCCUAGGCCAAAGGCAGGCGAGACCUUGCCUAACCAUGGCGAGGGUGGCCUCACCAUUGUUGGGUGAGGCUCACCCUUGCUAGUGGUGUGUGGGGGUAAGCCUUGCCAUUGGUUGGCGAGGCUAACCUUGCUGGCUUGAGUAAAAUAAAAUAUUAUUAAAAGAUUAUCUACAUCAAUAUUAGUUGGACGAGCGGUGUUGGUCGGCCAAAAUUUCUGAAUGAAUUGAAUAGUAUAAUUGCAAAAUGUUUGGGAUUGAAUUGGCUAAAAAAAAAGGUCUAAGUUUGAAUUGGAAAAAUUACAAUAAGUUUAUGAUUGUUUUGGUACGUCCUCCCUAUAUGGGAAGGAUCGUGACUAUGCUUCAAUUGAUGUAAGCAAGUGCAUCUUCACAGCCACUACCGCUCCCCUCCUACUCUUUGUAGCUUAUGCUACUCCCCUCUUAUAAAUCUCGGCUCGCCUGACGCCUUCGCCAUUGUGUAGGGAACGAGCGAGCUCGAGCUAGACCACAGUAAUGGCGGCAUCGACAAUGACGAUAAGGAGGAUCAAGUUGGGGUUGCAGGGCCUGCAGGUGUCGGUGCAAGGGCUGGGCUGCAUGGGCAUGUCCGCCUUUUACGGGCCACCCAAGUCGGAGCCCGACAUGAUCGCCCUCAUCCACCAUGUCGUCGGCUCUGGCGUCACCUUCCUUGACACCUCCGACAGCUACGACCCCCACACCAAUGAAAUCCUCCUUGGAAAGAUCGGUUCUCUCAGUCUCUGUUUUGCCUUCGCAUGAACUAUAUGUGCUUAUAAUGUUACGGAAUGUAGCUUCAUCGAGCAGAGUGCUUUGAUCCUGCGCCUUGGUUUUCUGAUUUCGGGGUUGAUUUUGAGCAGGCACUAACGGGAGGGGUGAGGCAAAAGGUGGAAUUGGCGACCAAGUUCGGAAUCAGCUUCGCGGAUGAGAAGAAAGAGGUCCAGGGCGAUCCGGCAUACGUGAGGGCGGCUUGCAAUGCCAGCUUGAAGCGACUUGACAUCGAUUGCAUCAACCUCUACUACCAGCACCGUAUCGACACUCGCGUCCCCAUUGAAGUCACUAUAUGGAUCCCUUAUCAAACUUUCACCUCGCUUGAGACUUUCUCCGAGCCAUAUGAUUAGUUGCUAAAUUAGAUUGGUGUUGAUGAUGCAUCGUCAUGUUGUUACAAGUUUGUUGAAUUUUGUUAAAUGACACUUAAGUUCAGCUGAUAGCAAAGCUCAAGAUGCGGCACGGUGUUGUUCAGGGGUUGUGGAAUUUAGUAGUUUAAUGGCUUGAGUUUUCGUUUUGUGGGCAUCCUUUACAAGUUAAGGGUCAACAAGCAUGAAAAUCAUUCGAAAUCUUCCUUACCUUUGAGAUGAAAGUGCUCCGGGGUUCAUCCUGAUUUUUUUUUUUUUUGGUGGUGAAAGUAAGUAAUUGUAUUAAGCUUUGCCAACUAUACAAGAUGAAAUCUUGGCACCAAAACUUGCACUCAGAAUGACAUGACGUCAAUGCGAGUGGAAGGAUGCUGAGAUGAAAAAUAGCAAGCAAUAAACGGUGUUGACACCUAAAUUUUGGCGAUCCGAUUAUUUAUUUAUUACAUAAAAAUUAUGGGUCAAUUUGUCUCUUAAAAAAUAUUAAUUACAUAUAGAUUUAGGUGCAUUUAUUUUUAAUUUAAUUUUUUUGUAUUUUAUUGGAUCGAUGGUGGAUGGAUUCAAAUUAAUGGUUAUGAAUUUUAAAUUGACAAAUCGAACUAAGUUCACGAAUAUAAGAAAUUGGCGCAAGCCCGUAUUUGAAAAAAUUCUAUUGUAAUUUUUGAAAAAUCAAUAGAAAACAUUCAUUUUUGCAAAGGAAAUCAAGAAGAGCUGUGGAAAAUAAAAAGUGAUAUUACGUGCGGAAAAGAAAUCUUUGCAGAUGUUGAUUUAAAAAGGAAAUUAAAAUCCUAAUUUUUGGUCUAUAAAAAAGUAACUUAGUAUAGGGUUUUGGGGAGGCUACACAUGGAAUACACAGCCAGUGGAGGGCGAAAUUCGAAAAAAUUUGGAGAGCAAACGCGAGGGGGCUUUUUCCUUCGGUUGAUUGGAGUUGAGAAUUCAAGAAAAAAGAAGAAGAAAGAAUUCGUUUGUUUGUGAAAAAAGGCAGCAAAAGUGUGCAGAAAAAAAGGAAGAGACAGAGACGGGACAGGGAAGAGUGAUGUGAGAGAGAGACGUGGAGUAGAAUAAAAAAGAAAAAAGAAAGUAAAAACAGGGAAGACUGUUCAUCCUCGCAAGCGCCUCAACCGCUGUCGCCGAUCCCUUUCGCCCGCACCGGCCCGCGACCUGCAGCCGCCGCGCUCCGUCGCCGCCUCACCCGAGCCGCCGACCACCACCGCUCGCUGCUCACACUACCGCUGUCCCGAUCUGCCCGCUCGAGCGUCCCUACGCCGGCAGAUCUGAGCUGCUCGCCACUCCACCGCCGCGCGAGUUCCCGCACCGGUCCGCGCCUCCUCUGCUGCUCGUGCCGUGCCACCACCAGGGUUCCUCUCGCUCGCGAGCUCGCACCGCCGCCCCGCUGUGCUGAUCCGCGACGACCCGACGCUCCGCUGCUGCUGCUGCUGCACCUUCGCAGGUCACCCCACCAGCACCACCGUUCGUCGCCCUGGCUGUAGGCGCGACGACUCGACACCGCCUCUGCUCAGUCACUCCUUCACCCGCUCCUGCUGCAGCACCAGUCGCUGCAACCUCCGCCGUCGCUCUUGCAUCCGACCCGACGCCAGCAGCAACGAUCCAGAUCCGGCGCCUGCUGCAGCCACAGCCCGACGCCGCUCCUCUGCCCGCGACCCAAGACCGGACGCCCAGGUCCGACGCCCUGCAGCUCCCUCUCUGAGUGACUCCCGCGACUUCCCUCACCGGAGCAACCCACCACGUUGCUGCUUCGCUUGAAAAAAAGAAAAAGAAAAAGAAAACAAAAAAAGAAAAAUCAAUUUAGGUAAUUUUUCCUUUUAUUUAUCUAUCUUAUUUUAUUAUUUUUGUUAUUUAACUUUAUUUGUUCUUUUUCAGUAUAAUUAUUCCUUAGUGUAAGGAUGAGAUGUUCGACAUGAAAUAGCCUGUGAAAUUUGUGAUUGUCAGUCCGAUUUUCACGCCUAAAAUCCGACUUGCAAUCACUUAAAAAAAAUCGCUAAUCCGAUCUUCCGCCUAAGAUUCAAUUCGCGAUUUAUGUGAAAUUGACCAACUCGAUUUCAUGCGCGAGAUAUAAUUCGUCAAUUUGGAUAUCAUCUUGCUCCGAUUUGUUGUCGUGUCAUUUAAUUAAAUUUGCUUUCAUAAAAAAAAAAUGUAGGUUAGAAUUAGGUUUAUUCCCUAUUUUAGGGUUUACAUAUUUAAAAUAUGAAUUUUAUUUCGAAUUUUUUUUUAAAAAAUAAUAAUAAAUUAAAAAAUCAAAAAUCAAAUCAAUUAAUUUAGGUUGCUAGUUUUUUUUUUUUUUUUUUAAAACUUGGAUUGCAUGUUUAAUUGUUUGGCAAUUAUUAAUUUCGAAAUUAAUAAAACAAAAACGCAACAAAAAAUCAUCAUGCAUAUGUCAUAUAGAAUUAGGGCAUCUUUUGUAUGUCAUUGCAUAUUAGGGUAAAAUUGCUAAUAUUUUUCUUAAUUUAUUAUAAGUUUAGGUAUUUUCUUAGAUAGAUUGCAUUUUAGGAUUGCUUGGGUUAGGAUAAUAUUCUAAUUUAAAUUAGGAUUUGGCUUAACCUAAUUCCUAAUACAAAUUGAAUAGAAUCUUAAUCUAGUUAGAUAAUUUUCACAUUUAAUCUAAUUUCGAAUUUCAUGAAAAAUACAAAAAAAAAGUCUUAGAAUAAAUUGGUUUUAUUCUCUAGGAUAAAUUGCAUUCUCUUUAAGGAAAAAAGAAGAAAAAUAUCAUGUGCAUGCCAUAUAAGAUUAGACUCAUGAGAUGCAUACCAUUUAGUGAUUGUUGCUAGUCCAUUUAAUUAGAAAUUGCAUAUCAUUAGAAUUAGGUCAUUUAGUUAUAUUGCAUUGCAUAUUAUAUGAUUUUCAUUAAAUAAGUGAAAAUAAAGAAAUUGCGUAUUGAUUAGAAAUUAUAUUUAAAACCGUCGAUGUGAAUUUUGAUAUAACAUUGUAGAUGCUUUCGUUGCUAUGAAAUGACUAUUACAAUUUAUUCAUUAUUUAUCUGGGUGUUAAAUUGGUGGUUUGCGCACUCAUAUGAUCACUUCAUAUGUUAAAAAAAUAGAUUUAAAAUCAAUCCAAAUUGCAUGUAAAAACAUUUUUGAAAAUAAAAAGAAGUGGUACCGAAAGGGUAUUAGAGAAUCUAGCAUAAUUAAGUCUCUGAACUCAUAAAUCUCUAAUUCGUAGGAGUGAAGUAAAUCUCCCGUUACUUUAUUUGAAGAUUAAUGGCGACUCCUAACUGAAAUAUCGUUUGUAUGUUAAGAACUUAAACCCAAGUUGCAAAUUGGUAUGGCUUGGGAGAGCUUGAGUUAGGUCUAGGCUUAACAAUUCAUUAGCCAAACCUUAGGUGAUACACACCUGAAAAUUUGGUCGCGACAAAUGGUAACAGCCACCACACAGCAAAGAAGAGCCAAACAACGGCCACCACUAGCAACCAAAGCAAAAAACAAAAGGCAACCGAGGGAUCAAACAGACGCAGCCAGAUCACCCCAAGCACCAAACCAAAAAGGGAAAGGCACAGUUCAAGCGUCCCAGUUGAGAGAAGCCGUGACCGACACGAACCAGGGGAGGAGGAAUCUUCAGUGAAACAGCCAACCCCAAGGACCUCGGCGGUAGCUCAGCACAAGAAUGUCCACCCUAGAAGGGUAUCCAGUUAGAAGGAGAUGGAUGAUGGAACAACCAUUCUCAAGGAUCGAACUCGCCGCUGAAAUAGCAGCUACAUGGAAAUCAGCUUCGUAGAUUUGAUCAAGAAUCACCUAAAGAGAAAACAAUCGGAUCAAUGCCCCAGGCACGCUGGAGUAUCCUGUUCCUCGCGGUACUAUCGACAUUUCUGAAAGUUAGAGCCUUAUCCCGGACAACCCUAAGGAGAUGGUUCUUCAGGGCCGGGAUCGUAGGAGUUAGCUCUCUAAACAAAAUAUCAUUCCUGUUCUUUCAUAUAAUGUGACAGAGGGCUCCAAGGGGUUCAUCCUGAAUUUAUAUACAGGAAUCACAGAUAAAGUUGUUCCUGGACUUUAUGCGGAGACAUUUGAUUCUUGACAUAUUGUGAAAUAUGACAAGUACUUGGAAUACUUCUUUUAUUUGCUCUCUUCUGUGAGAGAUUCAGGAAAUCUACCUCCGUUAACUCAAUACCUUGUGACUUUUUUGUUGCAUUGUGAUGCAUGAUAAUUGAGGGAUCUAGACACAUAAAAAGCUAAUGCCAUGCAUAAUUUUCUGGAUCUUAACAUGUAAGAUCUUUCGUCCAAAAAAAAAAAAAAACAUGUAAGAUCUUGAUUUUGUUGUUUUGUCAUGUGAAUAUGCAUAGAUCGGAGAGCUAAAGAAGCUCGUGGAAGAGGGUAAGAUAAAGUACAUCGGUUUAUCCGAGGCCUCUGCCUCAACAAUCAGAAGAGCACAUGCUGUUCAUCCCAUCACAGCGGUGCAAUUGGAGUGGUCGCUUUGGUCAAGAGAUGUGGAGGCAGAGAUCGUUCCAACGUGCAGGUAGGAUAUCACUCUGUUAAUUGUUUAUGCAGCAACAACAGCUUCCUUCUGACUCUGCUUUUCCUUUAAAAUGUUGACUAGGGAGCUUGGCAUUGGAAUUGUUGCCUACAGUCCUUUAGGACGAGGAUUCUUUUCUGUUGGCUCCAAGUUGGUGGAGAAUAUCUCUAAGGAUGACUUCAGACAGGUCUGUUCCUGCUUGUCAACAUAAUUAGAUGCCAGUAUCGGGCUUUGGCCCUCCGUCCUUUUUCAUUCUCAUCUUUCUUCACAAGAUAAACUAUAUCUUGACACAACCAUUUCUUGAGUAAGGACUCCUAGCACCCUUCUUAUGAGAGUUUUGGCUCAAGUUCCCAUCUGACAUAAAGCCAAUUGUGUAUUACUCCCCGCCAUUAGCGUUUGACUAGCGAUAGUGCUGGGCAAGUGAAGUAGCUAUUUUUUUUUUUUUGUAGCUAAAAGAGCUUUGCGUCUGAUAACGUUCUUCUACACAUCAUCUACAUUUCUGAUUUUUAUUUUAUGUGUGACUCAGGAAAAUGAUAAUUGCUCAUAUGCUCUCUGCUGAGACAUUGCUCUAUGUUAUGCAGUAUCUACCAAGGUUCCGGCCAGAGAACUUGGCUCACAACACGAAGUUAUUUGACCGAGUGAAUGGAAUUGCACAAAGAAAGGGAUGCACCACAUCGCAGUUAGCCCUCGCCUGGGUACACCACCAGGGUGAUGAUGUUUGCCUGAUUCCCGGCACGACCAAGAUCGAGAAUUUCAACUAGAACAUUGGAGCUCUGUCAGUGAAGCUUACACCGGAAGAGAUGGCCGAGCUUGAAUCGAUUGCUUCUGCAGACAGUGUCAAGGGUGGCAGGUACGAUGGAAGCAUGUCUACAUGGGAAAACUCCGACACUCCACCCCUUUCUUAAUAAAAUUAUGUGUUUUUCUAGUAAGGGAUGUUGCGAAAACUUUAUUGUCUUUUGCAUGCGUAAUUAUAACUAUGAGUGUAACUAUGCGUAAUUACAACAUGUGGCGUCACACAAUCCUCAGCACUUGAAUUGGGGUCUAUCAAGGUAGUGCUUGAGUCUAUGAUGCUCAAGCUCUAUUCAAUAGCACUUAGGCUCGGGUCCGCAAAGAUUGUGCAUCAGUCCUCAAUGCUUGAGGUCGGCUCGUUAGUUAAUAAAACGUUUGUUCUUAUAAAAAUAAUUAUUUUUAAAAAAUCUAUUUUUUUAUAUUAUUUGUUUUCUUUCUUUUUAUUUUCCUUCUUCUCGGCUAGUUGCCAACCAUGGCGCCGAUUGCGCCUGAUAACAAGCACCGGAUGAGCUAGCCCAAGGCCAAGAAGACUUGAGAUUGCUGAUUUGGCAAGCUUGAAGCUGGUCAAGUGCAAGCUCGAGUUUCGCCCCGUGGCUAGUCGCCAACUACCACCGUGGCUAGCGUUCGGUCGAGGAAGAAGAAAAAGAAAAAUAAGUAAAAAUCUGAAUAUUUUGUAAUCUUCUAUAGGGAAAUCAAAUAAGAUUUUUCAUAUUAAACGAUAAAAAAUAUUUUCUAGUUUAUUUUUAAGACUUAACCAAAUAUUGAAAAUGACUUUUUGUAAAAUAUUAUUCAAAUAUGUCAUAUUUUUUGCGAAACAAACGGUACAUAAAUUUAAAUUUGAUAAUUGUCCUUGUUAAUUUGGUACACAUUAUCUGUCUCUUUGUUUUGUUGCUGAACUGAUGCUAAUCUCUAGAUGAAGCUUGACUAGUUUCAAUAGGCGGCUUGACUUUUGCGCUUCCUUUUUUUUAAAACCCAAAACACUCAAAACUUUCGUGAUACACGACUUUCGACAUGCAGAGUUACAAUCACUUCAAAUAAUUUAUCUGAAAAUUGUAUAGUGGGCCAUCCGAGAAAGGUGAGGGCAACUUGUCCCCCUAGAAAUUGUCAUGACGUGGAACUCUUGACAUGAAUUGAAGUGACUUUUGUUAAGAGUUAACUAGUCAAGAUCGGGCCACAUCUGUCCAUUCAUGUCCGCCACAUCCGGCCCCUCCAAUCGGACUCCCCGGCGAAAAGAUUCACGGACACGUGGCUGGAUCUAGAAAGUCACGGGUUUGACUUGUCUUUUGUGUCACUAUCAAGAAUGUGCAUGGUCCGGACGGGCGAUUCCCGACCUAGAAUCGGGAACUGCUUGCUAAGGACCGAUUCCAAAACAUUGAAACGGAGAUCCACCAGUUAGUUGAAUGAAUCCACUUGGGAACCAGAUCGCUGAUUCAGUCCGAUUUCUAGGUGGAUCUAUGGAACCGAUCUUGACGCUAAAUAAUUUUAUUUUCAAUAUAGAACGACUACGUGAUUUCCAUAACAACAGCUGGAGAGGUUGUAGAAGGAUAUCAUGGUAGGCACUUACGAUAAUCGUGAGGAAAUGAUAGCAAUUUUGGUUAAACUUGUUUUCUAUCAUGGCUAUCAUGGGUCGAAUAAAAUUUUGCAAGCAAAUUUCGUGUCCUAGGCAUUUUUUUUCUCUUAGGUGUGAUGCUUUAAAAACCCUCUAUGUGAUGCUUAGGAACCUUUGUUUGUGAUGAAGCCUAAAGAUUUAUUCCUUGUUGUGGACUUGUUGUCCUACAUCAAAAUCUCUCAGUCAAACUUUUUUGCUUUGUUUUGGUAAGUCUGUAUAAGGUAUAUUACAGAAGUUGCAUUACGAGAUAUUUCUUCCUUAUUGUCUUUUUAGUUUAACUAAGGCCAAAUUGUUUUGGCAUUUUUCCAAGCAUUUCAUUAUGGAAUGAUGAUAAGAAGCGAUCUUGACUUAAUGCUUUUAGUUAUUUGAUUUGGAUUUAUUAAUUAGUAAUUUCAUUUUUUAAUAUUAAAAAUUAAUAUAUUAUUUUAAUAUAAUCGGUUCGGUCUAGGUGGGCGGGUAGAUAGAUCCGCUCAUGGAACUGGGAACCAGACUGGUACUCACCGGUUCCCAUAAAUUGGAAUCGAGAACCGGACCGGUUCCCUUAAAAACUACCGGUUCUGGGCGGUCCAAGCGGGUUUCGGUUAUUUUGCACAAAGAAUUAAAAAUUCAAUUUUUUUUAAAAAUAUUUUAAAAAGAAUUAUAAAAAUUUUCAUUAAAUUUGUAUUGCAUAAAAAUGUUUUAACAAUACUUUUUUUUAAAUAAAAAAAUCAUAAAAACGAGCUUUUUAAGGGUUAAUUAUUUUUUUUAUGUUAUUGUUUUUAGUUAUUCAAAGGUAUGUUUACUUCAAAUAAGGGAAGCAUGUGCAUAGUUUAAUUCUUUAUAAAUAUUUAAAUGUUUUUUUAAACUUUUCUUAUUUUAUUUUAUUUUCUAUUUUUAAUUUAAUUUGAAGAUUUAAUCUAAUUAGCAUAUAAUAGAAGUGGAUUUUCCUAAAAUAUUAAGAGGUUUUAGCAAUACGAGUUGGAUCGGGUAUGUGUCGGGUAUAUAUGAAUAUGGAUCAGAAUAAGUUAAAUAGAUCAAAUAUGAGUUCAUUCGUUUUCGACCGGACUCAAAUCCGGCUUGAUCCGGUUUCGACCCAACCCAAAUCCGACUCGAUCCACUCAUUUAACGGGUCUAGAUUGAAUUGACGUAAGCACGUGCGUCUUCGUAGCUACUGCCGCUCCCCUCCUAUAAAUCUCGGCUCGCCCGACAUCUUAGCCAUCGUCACGGUGCAGUGCAGGGAACGAGCGAGCUCGAGCUAGACGACGGCAAUGGCAGCGUCGACGACGACGGUGGGGAGGAUCAAGCUGGGGUCGCAGGGCAUGGAGGUGUCGGCGCAGGGGCUGGGCUGCAUGGGCAUGUCCAUCGGCUACGGCCCUCCCAAGCCCGACCCCGACAUGAUCGCCCUCAUCCACCACGCCGUCGGCUCCGGCGUCACCUUCCUCGACACCUCCGACAUCUACGGCCCCCACACCAACGAAAUCCUCCUCGGAAAGGUCGGUUCUCUCAGUCUCUCUUUUGCCUCCGCAUGAAUCAUACGUGCUUAUAGUGUUACGGAAUUCAGCUUCAUCGAGCAGGAUGCUCCGAUCCUGCGCCUUGGUUUUCUGAUUUCGGGGUUGAUUUUGAGCAGGCACUGAAGGGAGGGGUGAGGCAGAAGGUGGAAUUGGCGACCAAGUUCGGAGUCAGCUUCGCGGACGGGAAGAGGGAGAUCCGGGGCGAUCCGGCGUACGUGAGGGCUGCUUGCGAGGCCAGCUUGAGGCGGCUCCACAUCGAUUGCAUUGACCUCUACUACCAACAUCGCAUCGACACUCGCGUCCCCAUCGAAGUCACUGUAUGGAUCCCACAUCAAACCUUUACCUCUCUCGGGACUUUCUCCGAGUGAUCAGUUGCUAAAUUAGAAUGGUGUUGAUGAUGCAUCAUCAUCAAGAUAUCGUUAAAUGUGACUUGAGUUCAGAUGAUAGCAGAGUUCAAGAUGUGGCACGGUGUUGUUCAAGGGAUUGCGGAAUUUAGUAGUUUAUAUGGCUUGAGUUUUUGUUUUAUGGGUCAACAAGCAUGAAAAUUAUUCGAAAUCCAGGGUUCACCCUGAUUUAUAUCUGAGAAUCACAUUUGAAGUUGUUCCUGGACUUUCUGCGCAGACAUUUGGUUCUUGACUUGUCAUUGUGAAAUAUGACAAGUACUUGGAAUACUUCUUUAAUUUGCCUUCUUCUGUGAUAGAUUAGAGAGAUCCAUUUCCGUUAACGAUACCUUGCCAUUUUCUUGUUGCAUUGAGAUGCAUAAAGAUUGACUAUUUUUUGCUAGGAGCUACCUAAUCAAAUUGUAAUGUUUGAGAAGUCAGGGAACACAAACUAUUCAGGCAUCAGGACACAAGAAAAACUAAUGAUGUUCAAUAACUUCUGGAUCUUAACACGUAAGAUUUUGACGAUUGUUGUUUUGUCAUGUGAAUAUGCACAGGUUGGAGAGCUAAAGAAGCUCGUUGAAGAGGGUAAGAUAAAGUACAUCGGUUUAUCCGAGGCCUCUGCAUCAACAAUCAGAAGAGCACAUGCUGUUCAUCCCAUCACAGCAGUGCAAUUGGAGUGGUCGCUUUGGUCAAGAGAUGUGGAGGCAGAGAUCAUUCCCACGUGCAGGUAGGAUAUCACUGUUUAUUUGUUUAUGCAGUAACAACAUCUUUCUUCUGACUCUGCUCUUCCUUAAAAUGUUGACUAGGGAGCUUGGCAUUGGAAUUGUUGCCUACAGUCCUCUUGGACGAGGAUUCUUUUCUGUUGGCUCCAAGUUGGUGGAGAAUCUCUCUAAGGAUGACUUCAGACAGGUCUGUUUCUGCUGGUUAACAUAAUUAGAUGCUCACAGUUACUGUCAUUCCCAUUGAAGUGCUGGAAACCUGUUCUUAUUCUAUAAAGAAAAAGUUUGUGACACGAAUGCUUCAUAUUCUUAUUCGAUCCAGCACUUGCCAGUCAUCCCACCUCUCGUGAUUCUAGAUAAAUUUAAAAAUCACAAGUAAUGGCUUUAAUGAGCCUGAAAGGGGCAGUUUUCUGGAUUCUCGUGCUUUUGGGAAUGAACAAAUAUAGGUUUAUUUGUAAGUUGCUCCGUUUCCCAGCUUUCCCACCAUUUGCUUAUCACUAUCCUUUCCCCACUUUCCACCCGCCCUUUUUCUCUCAUAUCUCUUCACAAGAUUAGCAAUAUUUGCUCAAAAUAACCGAGACCAGUAUCGGGCCUUGGCCUCCGUCCUUUUUGUUUCUCAUCUUUCUUCACAAGAUAAAUUAUAUCUUGACACAACCAUUUCUUGAGCGAGGACUCCCUAACACCCUUCUUAUGAGAGUGUUGGGAUCAAGUUCCCAUCUGACAUAAAGCCAAUUGUGUAUUACUCCUGGCCAUUAGUGUUUGAGUAGCGAUAGUGCUGGGCAAGUGAAGUAGCUAUUUUUCUUUGUAGCUAAAUGAGCUUUGCGUCUGAUAACAUUCUUCUACACGUCAUCUACCUUUUGUGAUUUUUUUUUCUUAUGUGUGACUAAUGUUACCAUCACACGUACAAAACUUAGAUUGUCUAGUUUGUUUCUGUUUUCACUUCCUACAUCAAACCCAUCAGCCUUGUGUGGUAGUUGCUAGAUCACUUCGCUCGACGUUUCUAGUUCUUAUGAUUUGGGGCUAGGUAUUUUAAUCAUUUCAAGAUAAUCAUAACUGAUCAUGCUUUUCCAGGUACACAACAAUUGUGCACUUCUAAAUGCUUAUUAGGUCAAGUAACAAGGCAAUCUGUUGGCAUGCAAUGCGAUCACUUUUGCACCUUGCUGCUGUAGAAUUUGGCCUUAAAAGGAAAAUGAUAGUUGCUCAUAUGCUUUCUGCUGAGACAUUGCUCUAUGUUAUGCAGAACCAACCAAGGUUCCAGCCAGAGAACUUGGCUCACAACAUGAAGUUAUUUGACCGAGUGAAUGAAAUUGCGCAAAGAAAGGGAUGCACCACAUCGCAGUUAGCCCUUGCCUGGGUACACUACCAGGGUGAUGAUGUUUGCCCGAUUCCCGGCACGACCAAGAUCGAGAAUUUCAACCAGAACAUUGGAGCUCUGUCAGUGAAGCUUACACCGGAAGAGAUGGCUGAGCUCGAAUCAAUUGCUUCUGCAGACAAUGUCAAGGGUGGCAGGUACAAUGGAAACCUCUCUCCAUGGGAAAACUCCGACACUCCACCCCUUUCUUCUUGGAAACCUGCCUAGAAACAUGUCUACUUCUGUUGCUGCGUCUUUGAUAUGCAGAGUUUGUGCAUUUGCCGCUGAAGUAAUUUGAGGCUAUGUUGUGUGGCUGUUAUAAGUACGUGUAAUAAGAGAGUGACUGUUUUCGUUUUGUACAUGUGACAUUCACUAUGAGAAGAUUAUGGAUAUGUUCUAAGCUUACUGGGGAAAGAUCACCCGCUAACACGAGAGCAAGUUUUUUAUGAACCGAGCUUGCCGUGCCGACUUUAUCGGGGUGACUUUUAGAAUAUGAGAAAUUGGGAUUUUGAAGAAUUCAAACUCAGUCAUACAUACUAGAGUGAUGCUUUAUUCUCCUCCAACUAGUCUUGGUCCAGUUUCCAGAGAGAUUAGGUCGAUCCUUGGUCCUAGAAUUUCAGGACUAGCACUGUGCGGGUCGAUUCUUAGUCCUAAGAGUUCUAGGUCGGUCCAAUCCAAACCAACCUUAUAUAUAUAUAUAUAUAUUAUUUAUAAUUUUUUUAUAUAGAGAAAACCUUAAAACAAACGGCGUCAAUAACAUUAAAGAGUUAUUUAGUAAAGAGUUCAAGUAAUUUUACAUUGUUCUUUAAUAUUUUAGAUUUUUAAUGUCUUUUACGAUAUUAAUAGUCAUAAUUUACGAAGGAGGAAAUUGUUUUUGUAAGGAGUCCUCAUGAUAUCUAAAAAGGUAUAAAUGGCAUCAUUCUUUAGUAUUCGUUCUCUUUGGUUUUAUUCGUUCUCUUAAUUAUCAAUUUGCCAAAAUUGAAAGAAGCAAUCGCUCACUUUGGGUCACUCCUGCCGCUCGCCGCUUAAUGCUCGCUUGGCUUGUUGCUCCAUGCUCGAUAUUCGAUAUUUAUUCUGUUCGACGCUCACCCCACUUGACUCUCGUUGCUUGCCUUUUUUAGUUGACCUUGCUCAUCAUCGAAUCCAUUAGGUCAAUAUGGUCCUCAGUUGCUUUUUCAAGGAUUACAAAAAAUGAAAUAAAAAAUUAUUAAUUAGUCCUAAGUUGACCUUGAAACCAGACCGAACCCAUUGGGUCCGUUUGAUCUUCAAUCGCUUUUUUAAGGUGUACAAAAAAUGAAAUAAAAAAUUAUUGGUUGGUCCCGGGUUGACCCUAGAACUGGACCGAACCCAUUGGAUCAGUUCGGUCAUUGGUCCUAAGCUUAAUAGGGUUGGUUCUCGGUCCAAAAAACUGAGGACCAGCAUUGUGUGAGUUGGUCAUAGGGUUAGGGGGUGAACCGGCCCAACCUGGACCAUACUCACUCCUACCUCUAACCAUGAGUUCAAUACUAGCACCAUGUGCAACAUACUCUUAGGACUGGAUGCUACACAUAGAUACAACGCUUCGCUUUGUGUUUGGUUUCGUAGCGAAGUAAAGGAACAGUAAAAUGCUAUUGGAUGUUCUCGCGAAAAUGAAGUUUGGGAUAAAAUGUUGGCGCGGUUGAUAUGAGUGUCGAGGAAAUCGAAGGUUUCUUGUUCAAGUUUAACCACCUACGGUUCAUGAGCUUUUAUGUAGCUCAAUACCUUCGCUCAUGCCUCUGCAUUAUUAUAAAACAGUCGGAGAUAUUGCGCAAGUUUCCUAAAAUUAAAAACAACAAUUCUAUUGUUUUUUAUUUGGAGUUAGAGUGGAGCAAUGUCGUUUUGUUUUGAUUUAGGAAAAUAACGCAAAUAGUCAUUGAACUUUGGUCCAAUGUGUUAUGUUCUUAUUGAACUUUUAAUUUAUUUAGUAUGACUGUCGAACUUUUUAUACAUGUUUAAUUUAGAUCCUAGGCUAGAUAAAUCCAACGAUGCUGUGUUUGGUCGUUCGAACAUCUUUGCUGUAUGGGAUAAUGAAUGGAUGAAAAUCCCAUCUAAUAUUUCUUGACGUCUGGAUAUAGCAUGAUUCAAAAUAAAUCUUUUUUUUUUUAAAUGAGUGUUUGAUUUGUAUAAUUAAAAUUAAAAAUAAACCAUGGAAGUCGUGAAUAGUAUUCAUCCUUUCACAAUCUUCAUCGAUAUUAAACACCCCCGUUCCAUGUGACUUCAAGGACGCUCUCUCCUUCUGCAACGCCCCUUUCGCUGCCCUUGAUCAACUUGAUGGAUUACGCUCGCUCUACCUUUGACUUCGCCACAUUGAGAGGCCCUUGGGUUUGAGUUCUCCGCUGGUCUAGCCAUCUUUACUUCGAAUGCCUUUUCCUGCGAUGAAUCCAUCCCCUUCGACGAGUGCGAAUACUGCGUUGAUUCCCUGUUACCGUGCCCCGACUUGUUCAGUCGCUUCAACAGCUUCCCCCGAGACAGCGUGCGGAUCCGGUUUAUGAGUGGUAGCACCAUCGGUGCUACUCGCUCCGAGUGACGUGGUUGAAGAGCUCUAUCACCUUGGCUGCCGCCUCUUUCGGAUCAUCUUCUUCACAGAGAAGAUGUCCAGCUUUGAUCGGGAUCACAAAGUUCCCUACUAAAAUGGAGUUAAGUGACAUAAGAAAGAGGCAGGGCUGACGAGCUCCGACGCCACUUUUCCGAGGCAGCCAAAGGUGGUAAGCAGCUUGUCACUGGUAGGAGGAACGGUGGCCCUUAGACUUUGCUCAGGUCGUUGUGGCGAGGGCUUCUCUAGGUAUCUUCGCGAUACUCAUGCUCUAAGUUUGUGGUGGUCAUUUUAGUGAGAGAAAUUGAAACAAGAGAGAUGAUGCGGCACCGGUCAAAAGUGAGGAUAAGCCAUCAACAAGCGCAGGAGUGGGGGAAAAACUUGUAUCCCUUAUUUUUUUCAAUUUUCCAAAUUUCACAUAUCCUAUUUGGAUCUAUAUCACUUUCUAGAUGAGAUUUUUUAUCCGGACUAUAUCCAAAUUUCACGUUACUCUAAACACCGGAUAUGAUCAAACUUAUCAUAUCAGAGUUUUAUUCGGCCCAUCAAAGACAGACUUAUGAGAUAGAAUGCAAUGAUAUAAUCUAUGAAUUAGAUUAAACAUUUAUUAAAAGUUUAAGAAUAAUAUUUCACAUUUUGAUUGUUAGGAUGCACGAGUGAGUUAUGUUAAAACAAUCCCACAAUAUAUUGAUAGCUUUGUAAUAAGGCUUUCUCUUGGUGAUGACAUAGAUCCAUAUGGAGAAAUUAAUGGGAGGGUUUAUUUGGCCUAACUAAAUGGGAGGCUAUAUCAAUCGGAGCUUUUUCAUUGUAACAUUCCCUUGUGCUUGGUAUUUGUAUUUUAGUAAAAGGAUUUUGCUAGCAUAAUAAUCUUUGGGUUAUCAUGAGAAUAACAAUUUAUUAUGAUUUACAAAAUUUUAAAAUAGUAAACCUCAAUUCAAUUUUAAACUUUUUUUUUUCUAACUAAUUCAAUCCUAAAUAUUUUGCAUUUGUGACAAUUUAGUCUAUUCGGCCAUUUUUCGCCAAGAGGCAUUGAUGUGAACUUUGGCUGAUCGACCAAUGCUGACAUGGACAAUUUUUUUAAUAAUAUUUUAUUUUUCUUAUUUUUUAUUAAUUUUUUCUUUCUUUUUUUCUUCACUUCCUUCUCCUUCCUCCAGCCAGUCGGCAAGAGGCAAGGUUGGUGAGGGACCUUGCUGGCCUUGAGGAAGCUUGGCCAUGGUUGGGCAACCUUGCUCGUGGCUAGGCGACCUCGCCGAGGCCGCCGAUUGGGCUGGCGAGGGUUGACCCUCGUUGGCCAUAGGUCAGGACAAAGGCUGCUAGUUGGGCUUGCCCUUAUUGAAUCUGGUGAGGGUUGAGUCUCAUUGGCCAUGGGCAAGGUCAAAGGCCGCGACCUCUCGUGGUCUCUGGCGAGGCUUGCCAAAGGUUGAGCAAGGCUUACCCUCAUUGGACUGACGAGGGUUGAGCCUCGUCAGCCAAGAGCGAGAUCGUAACUUGCCCAUGGCCGGUGAGGCUCGCCUAGGCCAAAGACAGGCGGGGCCUUGCCUAACCAUGGCAAGGGUGGCCUCACCAUUGUUGGGUGAGGCUAGCCCUUGCCAGUGGCGUGUGGGGGUAAGCCUUGCCAUUGGUUGGCAAGGCUGACUUCACUGGCUUGAAUAAAAUAAAAUAUUAUUAAAAGAUUAUUCACAUCAAUAUUAGCCGAACGAGUGGUGCUCGUCGGCCAAAAUUGGCCGGAUGAAUUGAAUUAGUAUAAUUGCAAAAUGUUUAGGACUGAAUUGGCUAGAAAAAAAAAAGAUUUUAAGACUAAAUUAGAAAAAUUGCAAUAAGUUUAUGAUUGUUUUGGUAAUUUUUUCGUAUAAUAACCCUAGUAAAGAUGACUCACUUAAUUUGAGCGUCAAUAAAUCAAAGGUCACUUGUUUAGUUCUCACAACUUAUUUGUAAAUCACUUUAGAAGUGCAAAUCCAAUCAAUUUAUGAGCUUGCAAAAUGAGUCUCUAGAUAAACCAACUUUUGUAUUCGUGCUUCAGGAUUAUAAUAAAAUAUUAGAGGUUUUCAUCAGUGUAUCAUGAUAGGCUAGAUAGGGCGUUUUCUUUUGCACUUGUCAUACAUGAUCAUUUUGUAUCCUUUGAACUCAUGUUAUUUGUUGGUACUAGGUUGAGUGGUAAUAUGAUCUCCUACCUUAUACUUAGAUAUUUCAUUUAUUAGGCUUCGCCUCACUCCUUUUUUUCUUUUUUUUUCUUUUUUGUUGUAGGAUGAUUCCCCUAAAGAUGGUGACGGAGGGGCCGAGUUGAUAUCGGAAGCCAUUAAUCCUUGAGUUGGAUGGUAGUUUAGUUAGUAUGGAUGUAAUGGUAUUAGGUGACCCCGAUCUUUCCUAGGACUAUAAAAUUUUUUGUGAUAAUUACUAUCGAUAUUGUAUAAAGCCAAAGACACUUUUUUUUUUAAUAAACUCAUGCAUUUUUCUAGUAAAGGAUGUUGUGAAAACUUUAUUGUCUUUUCCAUGCGUAAUUAUAACUAUGAGUAUAAAUGGAAAUGACAUGUGCCGCAUGUGAUGUUCCAAGGCGUCACAUAAUCCCCAACACUCAAAUUAGGGUCCAUUAAGGCAGUGCUUAAAACUAUGAUGCUCAAGUUCUAUUCGGCAGCACUUAGGCUCGGGUCCAACAAGAUCGUGUGUCAGUCCUCAAUGCUCGGGCUCGGCUCGUUAGUUAAUAAAAUGUUGUUCUUAUAAAAAUAAUUCUUUUUAUUUUCAUUUUAUAUUCAUUUGUUUUCUUUCUUUUUCUUUCUCCUUCUUCUUGGCUGGUUGCCGACCAUGAUGACGAUUGCGCCUGAGAACAAGCGAGAGAUGAGCUAGCCCAAGGCCAAGAAGACUUGAGAUUGCUGAUUUGGCAAGCUUGAAGUUGGUUGAUCAAGUGACGCUAAAGCUCCCUAGCGUUGGGCAACCUCGAGUUUCACCUCAUGGCUAGUCGCCAACUACCACCGUGGCGAGCGAUCGGUUGAGGAAGAAGAAAAAUAAAAAUAAAAUUAAAAGAGAAAAUAACUAAAAAUCUGAAUAUUUUGGCAUUUUCUAUAGGGAAAUCAAAUCGAAAAAAUAUUUUCUAGUUUAUCUUUAGGACUUAACCAAAUAUUGGAAAUAUUAUUCAGAUAUGUCAUAUUUUUUGCGAAACAAACGGUGCGUAAAUAUUUAGAUUUGAUAAUUGUCCAUGUUAAUUAGGUACACAUUAUCUCACUCUUUGUUUCGUUGCCGAACUGAUGCUAAUCUCUAGACGAAGCUUGACUAGUCUCAACUCAAUAGGCGGCUUGACUUUUGCGCUUCCUUUUCUUCUUUUCUUUUUUCUUUUUAACUCAAAACACUCAAAACUUUCCUGGUACACGACUGUCGUCGUGUUACAAUCACUUUCAAUAAUGAUGGCCAUCCGAGCAAGAUGAGGGCGACUGGUCCCCCUAGAAAUUGUCAUGACGUUUGACUUUCAUGAAUUGAAAUGACUUUUCUCUGUCAAGGAGAAAAAUAGUUAACUAGUCAAGAUCGUGCCACAUCUCUCCAUCCAUGUCCUCCACAUCCGGCCCCACCAAUCGGACUCCCCGACAAAAAAAAUCGAGGACACGUGGCUGGAUCUAGAAAGUCACAGGUUCGACUUGUCUACUGUUAUCACUGUCCUUUUGCAAUAAUUUUUUUACACCCGUCUAGCUGUUGUGAGCUCCUCUGACAUACUAAUUGUGUGGAUAUGGUGAACUUGGGACCUUCUAUAAUCUGUCCAUAUUAAAAAUUUAAAAUGGACAAAUUCCGCCUCUCAUUGUGGAAUUCCACCCACAUUUCUCGCAAACUUUCAAACAUUAGUUCCAGGUCGUGCAUUCCAAUUGAGCCUUGUCUGGUCAAAUAUCAAAGUACUCUAGAGAAAAAUUUUAAAAAAAAUUGUAAAAAAGAGAGAGAAGGAAAACGAUUCAGCCUUAUAAUAACUUGCUAGGAACCACGUAGUUAAUUAGAGCAUCAAGAAAUUAGAGGUAGCUUGUGUAGUUCUCGCAAGUUACUUGUAAAUUGCUUUAGAAGUACAAACUUAAUUGAUUUAUGAGCUUGCACCAUAUUUUAUGAGUUUCUGAAUAACCAACUUUUGUAUUCAUGCAACUCACUCCGCUGUGACUGAGUUGGUUCGGACGUUCCCUCCUCUUCCAAUUGGGGGGAGGUUUGAGUCACCACGAUUGCAUUUGCGCAACUUAAGUGCGGCGCCAUGAGAGGUGGGUCCCCGUGCUAGCGUCACCGUGGGUUUACGUCGCCAGCUGCCGGUUGUACGGCGAUUCUCAAGUCAUAAAAAAAAAAGAAAAAAGAAAAUUUGUAUUCAUGCUUGUAGAUUAUAAUAAAAUAAUUGGUUGUGGUGGGCAAUUGAGAGUGACACCGUUUUCGCCUUUUAUUUUUUGUAAUAUGUGAAGUGUUGUUCUGUUUUUUGUUUUCGUCACCCUCCCACUUGUGCUAUAUUUGUUAGGUCUCCUCGCCAGGAGUUCGUCACUUUAUGUUAUUGACCUCUUAAUUAAAUACAACAAUACCUUCAAGGACUGCUCUUCAUAAAGGCGCGGAUUGGACGGCCGGUGACCGAGAUAGCAGCCUCCGCCCCUCCCUCGGUCUUGCCCUUUGCAUAACUUUUAGAAAACAUGCGUGAUUAGAGGAUCAAUAGUGACUUAAUUCUAACCCGUAUCGAUGUUACCCGUUUAGCAUCUCUUAGUAAAUGUAAAUAUUGUACGCGGAUGACAGCAUUUUGAAGAAUUUACAAUUGGUGUUCUUUUAUUAAAUAUGGUUGAUAUCAUGAAAAAUCUUAGAUUGAUACAUUUGCGACAAACUUAUCCCAAACUAUUUUUUUUACACAAAAACCGUAAACUAGUAUAUUUGUAAUUUUACCUAAAACUAUUUUUUUUUAUCGUCAAAAACCUCAAACUGAUAUAUUUGUAGCAAAAUUACUCUUUACUAACUAGUGUUAAAUUAUACUAAUAUGAAUUGGUACAUCUAUGACAAACGAAGGGUAAAAUCCUAAAUUGGUACACUCAUUAACUAUCAUAUGUCAUUUAACUCAGUAAUUUAAUAGUACAAUUUAAGGGAAAUUAACGGAGGGUCAAUUUGUCAUAGGUGUAUCGGUAUGAGAUUUUUGAUAGCAAAUGUAGGAGUUUUACAUGGUAUUAAACUCUAUUGCAUAUGAUCAAAAGUCCUAGUUUCUACUAUUUUUGUCGACACAAUACCUUAAAAAACCUCAAACUUAAGCUCUGAUCCUAAUUCUAUCUUUUGUGUUAUAAGACCUCCAACUUUAGAUCAUGUCCCAAUUCCACCCUAACAUACAUAUUUUAGAAAACCCCAUAUUUUAGUUAUAGUCCCAAUCUUAUCUAAACAUCUGUUAUCUCAUAAAAUCCCUCAAAUUUAGGUCAAGUACCAAUUCCAACCUAAACGUUAUUUUGUCUUAUAAAAAGAAUCCUAGCUUUAGGUCCAAUUUCAUUUUCACUUUUUUUUUUUAUCUCAUAAAAGAUUACCAACUUUUACUUGAGUCCCAAAUCCACUCUCCAUUAACCCUCCAUCAAAAUUGCCCUUAGUGAUUUUGUGCUCGGUUUUUGAUCUCGCGUGCUUGGAAAUAUUUCAUUUCUCUUGAACAACUUGUGCUUGAGGGUUUUCCAUCUCUCGAUGUCAGCAGGAAAUUUUGCACGAAGGGUUAAUGGUGGCAAAUAUGCGACUCAAGUAAAAAUUUAUAGUUUUUUCAUCAGACUAUAAAAAUUUUACGGUAAUAUUGAGAGUGGAUAGGCUUUUCAUAAGACAAGAAAAGGUUUAAGGUAGAAUUAGUAUAUUAUUUAAAAUUGAAUUGUGAAUGGCUAUAAAAUUAGUGAUUUUUUUUAUGAGAUAAAAGGUAAAAUUAGGAGAAAAGCUAAAGUUAGAGAGUUUUUUUUAGGGUAUCAAACCUAUUUUUGUCAAUCAUAUGAUGUCAACAUUAUCUUUGUUUUUGUUUUUCUUUCAAUUGUCCAUUUGGUCGGUUCUUUUCUAUUCUUAUUCUCAAACUUUUGCCUUGACUCAUUACAAGUGUGAGAAUUGAAACCACAUUUGAUACUAUAUUGUCCCCCGGUAGGCAUUCAAAACCCCCAUCUCCCGCUUCUCAUGUAAGUUAUGAAUGGAGCCUUCGUGUCGUGUCCGACACGCUCGAAGAUGCGGUCAAUACGUGUUCGAAAUCCGACACGUGAACAAUUCUUAUUGACACAUUCUAACACACAAGUCCGAGAGAGAGGAUCGUUGAAGAAAACAAUGGCAAGGGAGCGAAGGCAACGGCAAGGCCACGACGGUGAGAGAGGGCUAGAGGAAGAGUAGAGACCGAGAUGACCUAAAGAGAGGAUCGUGACUGCAAUGGAGGGCCGGUGGCGAGACUGCACCUAUGUAGGAGGAAGGGUUGGAGGUGAGGCGGCAAGCGAUUAUGACAAGGCAAUCAAGAGAGAGAAGAGAUUGAGAGGUGGAUGGUCGUGCGAGGAGGAGGGGAAGGCCAGGGCUAGGGUUUUUGAAGGGGGAAAAUCAAAAAAUUAAAAACAUGAUUUUGAUGGGACAUUAGGGUUGUGCAAGGAGGAGGGGAAGGCCAGGGCUAGGGUUUUUGAAGGGGAAAACUCAAAAAAAUUAAAAACAUGAUUUUGAUGGGACAUUGCUGUGAUUUCUCCUUUAUGGAGAGGGGGAGCGUGUCGGGAGGUGGAGGGGGAGGGCAGAUAAAUGAGGGAAAGAUGAGUGAAAUAAGUUUGUUGGGGGCACAAAAGGAGGGGUUGGUAGGACCUGAGCAAGUCCUUAGACUGCUCCGUCUGGUCGGAAAUAGCCCACGGACGUAAAAUGUGGGCAAUGUUAAUCGUGGGAGAUCAGACCACCCUGUGUAAGGAUCUCCUGGCUCAGAUUCCCGCGAUGCCUUUCUCCUAACAUAUUAGGCUGGGUACAGGAAAAUGAUGAGUGAAAUAAGUUUGUUGGGGGGGGGGGGCACAAAAGGAGGGGUUGGUAAGGGUUGGCAUGGACCCCAUGGAUUUUUAUUUUUUUUUAAUCAAAAAAAUAAAUAAGGAAGGCCAGAAAGUGGGGGAAGAAACUAUGGAAAGAGAGUGAAGUAAAUGUGGGGGUGAGGGUUGGGGUGGACCACGGGGGUCUUUUCUUAUCAGAAAAAUAAAUAAGAAAAACUAUAAGGUGAUUUCGGAAAAUGAAAGUGUUGAAUGUUGAAUAAUAAUAAAAUUUGAUAAUUGUAAAAGAUUAUAGAUUUAUUUAAAUAAGUUAAUUCUAAUUUUUCUUAAUCAUUAGUUUUAUCAAUAAUUUUUGUUAGAGUUAGAAAUAUGUUCGUAUGGAUGCUAUAUGGCAUAUGGAAAGGGUGGCCUCACUUCUGGCGUUUCAUGUAUGGAAAGAGUGAUUAUUAAUGGCGCAUUUGGUAACGUUUUUGUUUCGGAGGACAAUUUUUGAAUAGAAAUAGUUUUUUUUUUUGUUCUAGGGAAUAAUUUUUGAGUAUAAGAAUGUGUUUGGUAACUGCAAACAAUUUCUACUCUAAAAAUAGAAACGCGCUUGGUAAACUUGUAUAAUUUCUUUGUUUCUUUUAAUUUUUUAAUAUUUUUAAUAUUUUUUUUCUUUUUUUCUUUUUUCUUUUUCUCUUUGGUCGGUUGCUGGCUAUGGCGAUGUCCGUUGAGCCUUGUCCAGGCAACGCGAGGUUCGCCUCGUGCCGAUUGGGGAGGUCAAGGCCUCUUGGCUUUGUCUGGGCUAAGCGAGGUUGACCUUGCCCAGCCACCGGCGAGACUCGGCCUCGCUGGGCCACCGCUAGGCGACUCUGUCCUGGAGGUGGCUCGGCGAGGUCGAGCCUCAUGCGGCCAUGGCGAGGCUCGGCCUCUCUGGGGGCUAGCGACACUCCGGCGAGGUCGUCGGCUCUCGUCUAGCCAGUUGCCGGUGUCAACUAUGGCUAAGGCUGAUGACNNNNNNNNNNNNNNNNNNNNNNNNNNNNNNNNNNNNNNNNNNNNNNNNNNNNNNNNNNNNNNNNNNNNNNNNNNNNNNNNNNNNNNNNNNNNNNNNNNNNCGUCUGGUCGAAAACAGCCCAUGGACGUAAAAUGUGGGCAAUGUUAAUCGCGGGAGAUCGGACCACCCUGUGUAAGGAUCUCUCGGUUCAGAUUCCCGCGAUGCCCUUCUCCUAACGUAUUAGACUGGGUACAGGAAAAUGACGAGUGAAAUAAGUUUGCUGGGGGCACAAAAGGAGGGGUUGGUAAGGGUUGGCAUGGACCCCAUGGACUUUUAUUUUUUUAUCAGAAAAAUAAAUAAGGAAGGCUAGAAAGUGGGGGAAGAAACUAUGGAAAGAGAGUGAAGUAAAUGUGGGGGUGAGGGUUGGGGUGGACCACGGGGGUCUUUUCUUAUCAGAAAAAUAAAUAAGAAAAACUAUAAGGUGAUUUCGGAAAAUGAAAGUGUUGAAUGUUGAAUAAUAAUAAAAUUUGAUAAUUGUAAAAGAUUAUAGAUUUAUUUAAAUAAGUUAAUUCUAAUUUUUCUUAAUCAUUAGUUUUAUCAAUAAUUUUUGUUAGAGUUAGAAAUAUGUUCGUAUGGAUGCUAUAUGGCAUAUGGAAAGGGUGGCCUCACUUCUGGCGUUUCAUGUAUGGAAAGAGUGAUUAUUAAUGGCGCAUUUGGUAACGUUUUUGUUUCGGAGGACAAUUUUUGAAUAGAAAUAGUUUUUUUUUUUGUUCUAGGGAAUAAUUUUUGAGUAUAAGAAUGUGUUUGGUAACUGCAAACAAUUUCUACUCUAAAAAUAGAAACGCGCUUGGUAAACUUGUAUAAUUUCUUUGUUUCUUUUAAUUUUUUAAUAUUUUUAAUAUUUUUUUUCUUUUUUUCUUUUUUCUUUUUCUCUUUGGUCGGUUGCUGGCUAUGGCGAUGUCCGUUGAGCCUUGUCCAGGCAACGCGAGGUUCGCCUCGUGCCGAUUGGGGAGGUCAAGGCCUCUUGGCUUUGUCUGGGCUAAGCGAGGUUGACCUUGCCCAGCCACCGGCGAGACUCGGCCUCGCUGGGCCACCGCUAGGCGACUCUGUCCUGGAGGUGGCUCGGCGAGGUCGAGCCUCAUGCGGCCAUGGCGAGGCUCGGCCUCUCUGGGGGCUAGCGACACUCCGGCGAGGUCGUCGGCUCUCGUCUAGCCAGUUGCCGGUGUCAACUAUGGCUAAGGCUGAUGACUGGCAAAAGGAAGAAGAAGAAGAAGAAGAAGAAGAAAAGAAAGAGAAAAUAGAAGAAGAAAAAUGAUAAGAAAAAAAAGUGUUUUUCGAAAGUGUUCUCGAGAAUAAGAAAUAAGUUUUUUUUUUUAAUUUCUUAUUUUUGUUCCAAAGUUGCUCUCACAAUAAAAAAAAAAGACCAGAAUAAAAGUAUAAACAAAUGAGUUUCUAUUCUUUUUUGGUUCUCUGGAACAAAAUAAUAAAAAUUUAUAUUCCAGGAAAAAAAAAUAAUUUUAAACGAACACACCCUAAGAUAUCUUUUGUAUUCCGGGGAAGUAGUUCAAUUGACGUGAGCCCGUGCGUCUUCCCUACAUGGGAAGGGUCGUCACUGGGUCUCAUCUGACCUAAGCAAGUGCGUCUUCACAGCUUUUACCGCUCCCCUCCUACACUUCGUAGCUACCGCCACUCCCCUCCUAUAAAUCUCGGCUCGCCCGACGCCUUCGCCAUCGUCUCGGUGCAGUGCAGGGAACGAGCGAGCUCGAGCUAGACGACGGCAAUGGCGGCUUCGACGACGACGGUGAGGAGGAUCAAGCUGGGGUCGCAGGGCCUCGAGGUGUCGGUGCAGGGGCUGGGCUGCAUGGGCAUGUCCGCCUUCUACGGCCCUCCCAAGUCCGACACCGACAUGAUCGCCCUGAUCCACCACGCCGUUGGCUCCGGCGUCACCUUCCUCGACACCUCCGACAUCUACGGCCCCCACACCAACGAAACCCUCCUCGGAAAGGUCGGUUCUCUCUCAGUCUCUGUUUUGCCUCCGCAUGAAUUAUAUGUGCUUAUAGUGUUACGGAAUUUAGCUUCAUCGAGCAGAGUGCUCUGAUCCUGCGCCUUGGUUUUCUGAUUUCGGGGUUGAUUUUGAGCAGGCACUGAAGGGAGGGGUGAGGCAGAAGGUGGAAUUGGCGACCAAGUUCGGAAUCAGCUUCGCGGACGGGAAGAGGGAGGUCCGGGGCGAUCCGGCGUACGUGAGGGCGGCUUGCGAGGCCAGCUUGAAGCGGCUUGACAUCGAUUGCAUCGACCUCUACUACCAACAUCGCAUCGACACUCGCGUCCCCAUCGAAGUCACUGUAUGGAUCCCCCAUCAAACUUUCACCUCGCUUGAGACUUUCUCCGAGCCAUAUGAUUAGUUGCUAAGUUAGAUUGGUGUUGAUGAUGCAUCGUCAUGUUGUUACAAGUUUGUUGAAAUUUGUUAAAUGACACUUAAGUUCGGCUGAUAGCAGAGUUCAAGAUGCGGCACGUUGUUGUUCAAGGGGUUGUGGAAUUUAGUAGUUUAGUGGCUUGAGUUUUCGUUUUGUGGGCAUCUUUUACAAGUUAAGGGUCAACAAGCAUGAAAAUUAUUCAAAAUCUUCCUUUGAGAUGAAAGUGCUCCAGGGUUCAUCCAGAAUUUAUAUACGGGAAUCACAUAUAAAGUUGUUCCUGGACUUUAUGUGGAGACAUUUGAUUCUUGACAUAUUGUGAAAUAUGACAAGUACUUGGAAUACUUCUUUUAUUUGCUCUCUUCUGUGAGAGAUUCAAGAAAUCAACCUCCGUUAACUCAAUACCUUGUGACUUUUUUGUCGCAUUGAGAUGCAUGAUAAUAGAGGGAUCUAGACGCAUAAAAAGCUAAUGACAUGCAUAAUUUUCUGGAUCUUAACAUGUAAGAUCUUGAUGUUGUUGUUCUGUCAUGUGAAUAUGCACAGAUCGGAGAGCUAAAGAAGCUCGUUGAAGAAGGUAAGAUAAAGUACAUCGGUUUAUCCGAGGCCUCUGCAUCAACAAUCAGAAGAGCACAUGCUGUUCAUCCCAUCACAGCAGUGCAAUUGGAGUGGUCGCUUUGGUCAAGAGAUGUGGAGGCAGAGAUCGUUCCAACGUGCAGGUAGGAUAUCACUCUGUUAAUUGUUUAUGCAGCAACAACAGCUUCCUUCUGACUCUGCUUUUCCUUUAAAAUGCUGACUAGGGAGCUUGGCAUUGGAAUUGUUGCCUACAGUCCUUUAGGACGAGGAUUCUUUUCUGUUGGCUCCAAGUUGGUGGAGAAUAUCUCUAAGGAUGACUUCAGACAGGUCUGUUCCUGCUUGUCAACAUAAUUAGAUGUUUACAUUGACUGUCAUUCUUAUUGAAGUGCUGGAAACCUGUUCUUGUGGUAUAAAGAAAAAGUAUCUGGAUGGGAUGAAUAAAACUUGGUGACACGAAUGCUUCGUGUUCUUAUAUGUCUUUAAUCCAGCACUUGCCAGACAUCCCACCUCUCUUGAUUCUAGAUAAAUGUAAAAUCACAAGUAACGGCUUUAAUGAGCCUGAAAGAGGCAGUUUCCUGGAUUCUCGUGCUUUUGGGAAUGAAUACAUAUAGGUUUAUAUGUAAGUUGCUCUGUUUCCCAGCCUUCCCAACAUUUGCUUAUCACUAUCCUUUCCCCACUUUCCACCCACCCUUUUUCUCUCAUCUUUCUUCACAAGAAUAGCGAUAUUUCCUCGAAAUAACUGACGCCAGUAUCGGGCUUUGGCCCUCCGUCCUUUUUCAUUCUCAUCUUUCUUCACAAGAUAAACUAUAUCUUGACACAACCAUUUCUUGAGCGCGGACUCCCGACACCCUUCUUAUGAGAGUUUUGGAUCAAGUUCCCAUCUGACAUAAAGCCAAUUGUGUAUUACUCCCCGCCAUUAGCGUUUGACUAGCGAUAGUGCUGGGCAAGUGAAGUAGCUAUUUUUCUUUGUAGCUAAAAGAGCUCUGCGUCUGAUAACAUUCUUCUACUCAUCAUCUACAUUUCUGAUUUUUUAUUUUAUGUGACUAAUGGUAUCAUCACACGUACAAAACUUAGAUUGUCGAGUUUGUUUCUGUUUUCACAUCCUACAUCAAGCCCAUCAGCCUUGUGUGGUAGUUGCUAGAUCACUUCGCUUGACGUUUCUAAUGCUUAUGAUUUGGGACAUGAUAUUUUAAUCAUUUCAAGAUAAUUUAUAACUGAUCAUGCUUUUUCAGAUACACAACGAUUGCACACUUCUAAAUGCUUAUUAUGUCAAGUAACAAGACAAUCCGAUGGCAUGCAAUGCAACCACUUUUGCACUUGUUGCUGUAGAAUUUAGCCUUAAGAGGAAAAUGAUAAUUUCUCAUAUGCUCUCUGCUGAGACAUUGCUCUAUGUUAUGCAGUAUCUACCAAGGUUCCGGCCAGAGAACUUGGCUCACAACACGAAGUUAUUUGACCGAGUGAAUGAAAUUGCGCAAAGAAAGGGAUGCACCACAUCGCAGUUAGCCCUGGCCUGGGUACACCACCAGGGUGACGACAUUUGCCCGAUUCCCGGCACAACCAAGAUCGAGAAUUUCAACCAGAACAUUGGAGCUCUGUCAGUGAAGCUUACACCGGAAGAGAUGGCCGAGCUUGAAUCGAUUGCUUCUGCGGACAAUGUCAAGGGUGGCAGGUACGAUGGAAGCAUGUCUACAUGGGAAAACUCCGACACUCCACCCCUUUCUUCUUGGAAACCUGCCUAGAAGCGUGUCUGCUUCUGUUGCUGCAUCUUUGAUGUGCAGAGGUUGAGCAUUUGCCGCUGAAGUAAUUUGAGUUUAUGUUGUGUGGCUGUUAUAAGUAUGUGUAAUAAGAGAGUGACUGUUUUCAUUUUGUACAUGUGACAUUCACUAUGAUAAGAUUAUGGAUGUGUACUAACCUUACUGGGGAAAGAUCACUCGAUAAACACGAGAGCGAGUUGAAUACGAACUGAGCCUGCCGUGUCGACUUUAUUGGGGUGACUUUUAGAAUCUGAGAAAUCGGGAUUUUGAAGAAUUCAAACUCAGUCGUACAUACUAGAGUGGUAUUCUCCACCAACCAUGAGUUCAAUCUCUUAAGACUGGAUGCUGCACAUAGAUGCAAAGCUUCGCUUUGUGUUUGGUUUGGUAGCGAAGUUAAGGAACAGUAAAAUGUUACCGGAUGUUCUCGCGAAAACGAAGUUGGGGAUAAAAUGCUGGCGCGGAUGAUAUGAGCGUCGGGGAAAUCGAGGGUUUCUUGUUCAAGUUUCACCACCUACGGUUCAUGAGCUUUUAUGUAGCUCGAUACCUUCGCUCAAUGCCUCUGCAUUAUUAUAAAACAGUCGGAGAUAUUGCGCAAGUUUCCUAAAAUUAAAAACGACACUUCUAUUGUUUUUUAUUUGGAGUUAGAGUGGUGCAAUGUUGUUUUGUUUUGGUUUAGGAAAAUAACGCAAAUAGUCACUACACUUUGGUCCAAUGUGUUAUGUUCUUACUGAAUUUUUAACUUGUUUAAUAUGGUUGUCGAGCUUUUUGUAUAUGUUUAAUUUAAAUCCUAGGCUAGAUAAAUCCAAUGAUGCCGUGUUUGGUCGGUUCGAAGAUCGUUGCUAUAUGGGAUAAUGAUAGGAUAAAAAUCCCAUCUAAUAUUUCUUGACGUCUGGAUAUAACAUGAUUCAAAUAAUUUUUUUUUUAAACGAGUGUUUGAUUUGUAUAAUUAAAAUUAAAAAUAAACCAUGGAAGUCGUGAAUACUAUUCAUCCUUUCACAAUCUUCAUCCAUAUCAAGCACCCCCGUUCCAUGUGACUUCAAGGACGCUCGCUCCUUCUGCAACACCCCUUUCGCUGCCCUUGAUCAACUUGAUGGAUUACGCUCGCUCUGCCUUUUGACUUCGCCACAUUGAGAGGCCCUUGGGUUUGAGUUCUCCGCUGGUCUAGCCAUCUUUAUUUUCAACGCCUUUUCCUGCGAUGAAUCCAUCCCCCUCGACGAGUGUGAAUGCCGCGUUGAUUCCCUGUUACCGUGCUCCGACUUGUUCAGUCGCUUCAACAGCUUCCCCCGAGACAGCGUGCGGAUCCGGUUUAUGAGUGGUAGCAGCAUCGGUACUACUCGCUCCGAGUGACGUGGUUGAGGAGCUCUAUCACCUUGGCUGCCGCCUCUUUCGGAUCAUCUUCUUCACAGAGGAGGUGUCCAGCUUUGAUCGGGAUCACAAAUUUCCCUACUAAAAUGAAGUUGAGUGACACAAGAAAGAGGCAGGGCUGACGAGCUCCGCGAUACUCAUGCUCAUGCUCUAAUUUUGUGGUGGUCAUUUUAGCGAGACAAAUUGGAACAAGAGAGAGAUGAUGGUGGCACUGGUCAAAAGCGAGGAUAAGCUAUAAAAAGCGCCCCGCCGCCCGGGGGGGGGGGGGGGGGGGGGGGGGGGGUCAGUUUUUCAAAUUUCACAUAUUUUAUCUGGAUUUAUAUCACUUUCUAGAUGUGAUUUUUUAUCCGUGCUAUAUCCUAAUUUCACAUUACUCUAGACACCAUAUAGGAUUAAACUUAUCAUAUUAGAGUUUUAUCCAGCCCUUCAAAUGCAGUCUUAUGAGAUAGAAUGCAAUGAUAUAAUCUGUGAACUAAAUUUAAACAUUUAUUAAAAGUUUACGAACGGAAUUUCACAUUUUGAUUGUUAAGAUGCAUGAGUGAGUUAUGUUAAAAUAAUCACACAAUAUAUUGAUAGCUUUAAAAAUGGGCUUUCUCUUGGUGAUGACGUUGAUCCAUAUAGAGAAAUUAAUGAGAGGGUUUAUUUGGCCUAACUAAAUGGGAGGCUAUAUCAAUGGGAGGUUUUUCAUUGUAACAUUCCCUUGUGCUUGGAAUUUGUUUUUUAGUAAAGGAUUUUAUUAGCGUAAUAAUAGUCUUUGGGUUAUUAUGUGAAUAACAAUUUAUUGUGAGUCACAAAUUUUUUAAAGUAAUGAACCCCAUAAUAAUUUCAAUUAUUUGUUACUUGAUUUUUUGUAGUUUAGAAUAAAAAUUAUCACCAAGUUAUUUCUUUUUAACAAAUAUAUUGCUCUAACUGUUGUUUUCAAUUAAGUUUGCAUCGGAGAAGAGAUUAUUUUGUUUUGCUACGCUUGUCGGAUAUUGCACAGGAUAUUGUCAUUUUCUUAGCACUAGCAACGUUGCGUUCAGACAAGGCGGCAUGGAAUUAUUUGCUCAGCUGCACAUCACACGACCAUACAUUCAUGGACUGUUCCUCAGGAAAGCAUAUAGACAUGUGGCAGAUGCAGAACAUUUCACGAGAUUAAAAAAAAGAAAAUAAUUUUUAAAAAACAAUACUUUCGACUUCAAAACGUGCCAAUCGAACGCCUGCUACUCCCGCCUAUAAAGCUCGGCUCACCCAACGGCUUCGUUGUCGUCUCGAACUGUCCAUUCUCCAUUCUCUGUUCUUGCAUCGACCUCGAGCUAGACGAUGGUGGCAAUGGCGUCGUCAGACGGUGAGGAGGAUCAAGUUGGGGUCGUAGGGUCUCAAGGUCUCGGCGCAGGGGCUGGGCUUGCAUGGGCAUGUUGGAAGAUAUGCGGAUUGCCUGAUUUGAUUUGAUCUUAAUUGAUCAUGAUUAAUCACGAUCUUCAUGUAUAUGUAAAUUAAAAAUUAGAUCUAGAUCUCGAUUGAUAAUCCAGAUCAUUUACUUCCUUAUUCAAGAUAGAGCUUGUAUUAUAUCUCUGCAAAAUUGUACAUUCAGAUUGUAAUAGUGAUAAUACAGAAAAAUCUCCCCACAUCGAUUCCCAUUUUCCUCUCCAAACUUCAUCCGUUCUUCCUUCACUCUUGCCUUCUUUCAUGGUAUCAGAGCAGCUUUGAUCUCUGACUCGCUUCCGUUCCAAACCACUGCUGAAGAAAAUUCUCAACCUGCAAAAGGGUUGAUCUUUCGGCAUUAGGCAUACUCUCGAAGGAAGAAAUUUAAAUUAUCUUACUAUGGCCUCUCCGCAGGACUCCAGUCUGGCUGCUGACGACAGGACCACCGAAGAAAGUAGUCCUCAAGCUCCACAGAUCCAGAAUCUCCCUGCAGUAAUACCAGUAUCCACCCAACCCCAGCAGUGGCGGCCCACGCAGGCUCAGUUUCAAUUGGGGCAACCCACGACGGGUCAACCAUACUAGUGGAUCCCCUAUCCACUCUAUUUUGGGCCAAGCCCAAAUUUCUCAUCGCCUUUUUUCGUGGGCCACCAGAAUCACAAUGGAGGCCCGCCAGCCACGAAUGGGGCAAGCCCAUCCAUCGCGAGAGAGCAGACGGGCGGUUCAAGCGAAUCGGGUACGGGGCAUAAUCCCUACCCGGGACAUGUCAAUGCGGGGUAUCUAGUUGGAUUGAGCGAAUCGGGUCAAGGGACGAAUCCCUACCCGAAUUUCGCACCGGGUUUUCUGUCCAUUCCAGCGGCGGCGUUCACUGGGCGACUAGAAAUAGGCGAUCCUCUGUUUGUCUCCACCGCUGACGGAUCGGAGCUUUGACUGAUAAACCAGCAACUAACCGGACUAGAGACCUAUUCGAAGUGGUCACAGGAGCUCCGGCGGGCAUUGGUGACAAAAGACAAAGACGGAUUUCUCGAUGGGACAAUUUCCAUCCCCUCCGAUGAACGCCUAGCCGGACACUGGCGGAAAUGCAAUCAACUCGUCCGAAUGUGGAUCAGAAAUUGCAUAUCCCCAGAAGUCAUGGCUGGGCUUCCACCCACAGAGGAUGCCAAAACCAUGUGGGAAAACAUUCGAGAAAUAUACGGUAAAAUGGAUCAAGCAAAAGUUUUUAAUCUUAUGCAGGAAAUUAGCGAACUCAAACAGGGAAAUUCGACGGUCACGGCCUGCUUCAACAGGCUAUCGUCCCUCCUGAAUCAACUCGAAGCAGUAGAAGAAAAGCUCGAAGGGCCAGAAUCUACCCUCAAGCAGUACAAACAAAUCAAAGAGAGAGAAAAAGCCACGCGAUUCUUGCUGAUUUUAAACGAAUCGUACCUCACGUUUCGGUCACAGAUCCUUGUCAUGGAUCCCAUGCCACCGAUCGGACGUAUUUACAAACUGGCGAUGCAGGAGGAGAGUCAGCGACUCACAAUCACGAACAACGGUGAGAGCAUCGCUCUGGCUGCCCGCGGAGAGGGGAGAACCCUAACCCUAGCUCGUGAAAAUGAAAAGAAAAGCCCUUUAGGGUUCGACGAGCUCGAUUCGCGCGGGCUUAAAAGGGAUGGGAUGAACGGCCAGGAUUACAUGCAAGGAUCGAGCGGCUUAGAUUACUCCCGAAAAUAUGACGGCCCAGAUUACGCAUGGAGAUCCGACGGUCGUCAAGGAAUCGAAAUUGCGCCUGGAUUGGACGGUGGACAGCAGAUCGCGAUCAAAGGAACGGACGGCCAGAUCUUCACCACGUCAUCAAAGAAUUUCGCAAAUUUUUUUAAAGGAAAGGGGUAAAUUUUUUUGCGAUUAUUGCAAACGUACUAAUCAUACCAUUGACAGUUGCUGGAAAUUACACGGGAAGCCGGGAGAAAAGGAGAAAAAAAUUUCCACAGCUUAUCAAGUCACUGGACCAGCUGGUCCAAAAAUUGACCAGCCAAUCUCAUAUGGUCAAUAUCAGCAACUCAUGCAAAAACUACAGAAGAUGGAAAUUUCCAACAAAGGGGGCAAUUUCUCAGGUAUUUCACAUUGCCUAAUUAAUUCCAUUUCCAGGAAGGCGUGGAUUAUAAUUCUGGGGCAAGUGACCAUAUUAUACGCGACAAGGGAUUUUUUUUUCAAAUAUAAAUGAAAGUUUGAAUUUUCCUGUCUCCGUACAAUUACCCAACGGAAAUGUUACUCAUGUCAAAGUGAUAGGAACAGUGAAUCUCAGUCCUCAGAUUAUUCUCUAGAAUGUGCUAUAUGUCCCAGAAUUCCAAUUCAACCUCAUAUCUGUGUCUCAAGUCUGCAAAGAGAACUCAUGCCGGGUAAUAUUCAAUGCUGACACAUGUUUAUUUCAGGCCCUUUCGACUGGAAGACAGAUGGACUUGGGUAAUCUUUCUGAAGGACUCUAUUUCUGGACGAGUUUUCCAAGUAAUUUCAAUUUUCCAUGCAAUUCCUUGAAUAAAAAAUCAUUGUGUAAUUCAACUGCCAAUGAUAGAAAUUUGACUAUGCAUAUGAGAUUGGGUCACAGUGCUUCAUUUUCAUAUCAUGAAUGUCUUAUAUGUCCCCUUGCAAAGCAAUCUCGCACACCAUUUUCUUCUAGUACUUCACGGACUAGUCAAAUAUUUGCAUUACUUCACGUGGACAUUUGGGGACCUUAUCAUACAGUCAAUCAUGAUGGCUCCCGUUAUUUUCUUACGAUAGUAGAUGACUAUUCUCGGGCAACAUGGAUCUUCCUAAUACAAUAAAAAAAUUAGGUCUAUUCUCACCUGAAAAAUUUCAUUAUGCUAUCUAAGAACCAAUUCAGGAAAUCCAUUCAGCGGAUUCGCACAGAUAACGGGAGAGAAUUCUUCAGUCAUGAAUGCUCCCAGUUAUUCAAUUCUCAUGGUAUUCGACACGAAAGUUCCUGCAUUUACUCACCACAACAAAAUGGAGUGGUUGAAAGAAAGCAUCGCCAUCUACUGGAAGUGGCUCGUGCCUUGAAAUUUCAAGCAUCAAUUCCAGAAAGAUAUUGGGGUGACUGUGUCACCAUAGCAGCUUAUCUUAUUAAUAGAAUGCCUACUCGGAUUCUUAAUGGACAGAUGCCAUUCGAGCUGUUAUUUGGGAAGAAACCGGACUUGAAUCAUCUCAAGAUCUUCGGAUGUCUCUGCUAUGCUGCAAUCAUGGGGCCUCGAGAUAAAAUGAGCCCAUGUGCGCGGCGAUGCGUCUUUAUGGGAUAUCCCAAUCUCCAGAAGGGGUAUCGGGUGCUUGAGAUUUCCACAGGAGAAUUCAUAGUAAGUCAUGAUGUCAUUUUCCAUGAAACUACUUUUCCAUUUUAUGAAGGGGAAUCUUCACAUGGAGAUCCAAAGAUAACUUCCAGCCAUCAUAAUUUUCUCAAUGAUGAAGCACCAUACCGGGAUCUUUCCUAUGUACCAAUAGUACAGCCGAGGGAUCCUAUUCUUCCUACAGUCCCAGUUCUACAAGAUUCUAAUGGAAAUUCGAAUUCUUCAGAACAUAUUCAGGGAGAUAUCUUGGAGGAACCCAUUGCUGAUGCAGAAGUUGAUGACACUACAACAACUUCAUUACCAGCAACAUCACAGCCCACCACCGAAGCUGGACAUCCUAGGAGGUCUGAACGAGCUACAAGACCACCAACCCGGACGAAAGAUUAUGUCUGUACUACUCACAACUCUCCAAGUAUUCAGUAUCCAGUCUCUUCAUAUGUUUCCUUUGAUAGAUUGUCUCAAGAACAUAGAUGUUGUAUUAGUCGAUUGUUUGAAGAGAAAGAACCGUCCAGUUAUAAAGAAGCCUCCAAUAACCCAAAAUGGCAAGAGACCAUGAAGGCAGAAUUGAAGGCCCUUACUGAUAAUCAUACAUGGGAUCUUGUUCCAUUACCAGCUCAUCGUAAACCAAUUGGAUGCAAAUGGGUUUACAAAAUCAAGUAUCGGGCUGAUGGCUCCAUUGAACGGUACAAGGCAAGAUUGGUAGCUAAGGGGUUCACCCAAAGAGAAGGUUUUGACUACCACGAGACGUUCUCACCAGUUGCCAAAGAUGUUACAGUCCGUUCAUUCUUAGCUGUUGCUGCCAUCAAUGACUGGCACCUACACCAGAUGGAUGUCCAUAAUGCUUUUCUCCAUGGCAAUCUAGAUGAAGAGAUCUACAUGAAUAUUCCUCAAGGCAUACAGAGACAGGGGGAUAAUAAGGUGUGUCGUCUCCGUAAAUCCCUUUAUGGAUUAAAACAGGCAUCCGGACAAUGGUAUGCUAAAUUUGCCAGUGCUCUUACAACAGCAGGCUUCAAGCAAUCCAAGCAUGAUUAUGCUCUGUUCUAAAAAACUAAAGGUAUGUCAUCUAUCUAUUUGAUGAUUUAUGUCGAUGACAUACUUGUUAUGGGAAAUGAUAGAGCCUCUAUAGAGAAUUUCAAGGAAUAUUUGCAUGCUACCUUCCAUAUUAAAGACUUAGGAGCACCAAAAUAUUUCCUUGGAAUCGAAGUUGCUCGAUCUGACAAGGGAAUUUCCCUUAGUCAGCGGAAGUUCAUUCUAGAAAUCAUAUCAGAAGUAGGUCUAUUAGGAUGCAAGCUAGCUGUAAUUCCUAUAGAGCAAAACACUAAGUUGACCAUCGCAGACUAUGAUAAGGGAAUAUUUCGAAAUGAUGAUUCCUUACUCAGUGAUCCGUCAGGCUAUCAAAGACUUGUUGGGAAACUUAUAUACCUGACAAUGACUAGACCUGAUAUCUUAUAUGCGGUUCAGACACUUAGCCAGUUUAUGCAUCAACCAAAGCGUUCUCAUUUGGAUGCAGCCUUAAAGGUCGUUAAAUAUCUCAAGAAAUGUCCGGGGCUAGGGAUACUUCUCUCUAAGGAAUGUGACAUGAGGAUGACAGCAUAUUGUGAUGCAGACUAUGCAACAUGUCCGAUUAGUCGAAGAUCUGUUACUGGAUAUUGCAUUAAAUUGGGAGGAUCUCUUCUAUCUUGGAAAACCAAGAAACAAGCUACUGUGUCUCUGUCCUCAGCCGAAGCAGAAUAUCGAGCUGUGGCCAAGGCCACUUGUCAAGUAGUUUGGAUGCGAGGAUUACUCAAGGAUCUUGGAGUAGAAGUGCAAGGACCCACAAGGUUAUAUUGUGAUAAUGAUACAGCUCUUAAACUUGCAACUAAUCCUAUAGUACAUGAAAGAACCAAGCAUAUAGAAGUGGAUUGUCACUUCACACGGGAAAAGAUCCAGGAAGGAGUAAUUGAGACGAGGAAUUUGGACAACGGAGCAACCAGUAGACUUGUUCACCAAGCCCCUAUGUCAGAGGCAACAUGCAUAUCUAUUAAAAAAGCUAGGCGUCUUGGACAUCUACAAGCCACCAGCUUGAGGGGGAGUGUUGGAAGAUAUGUGGAUUGCCUGAUUUGAUUUGAUCUUAAUUGAUCAUGAUUAAUCACGAUCUUCAUGUAUAUGUAAAUUAAAAAUUAGAUCUAGAUCUAGAUUGAUAGUCUAGAUCAUUUACUUCCUUAUUCAAGAUAGAGCUUGUAUUAUAUCUCUGCAGAAUUGUACAUUCAGAUUGUAAUAGUGAUAAUACAGAAAAAUCUCCCCACAUCGAUUCCCAUUUUCCUCUCUAAACUUCAUCCGUUCUUCCUUCACUCUUGCCUUCUUUCAGGGCAUAUCUACUUUGCCGGCCCUCCCAAGCCCAACCCCGACACGAUCGAGCUUGUCCACCACGCCGUUGAAUCUGGCGUUGCCUUCCUCGACACCUCCGACAUCUAUGGCCUUAACGCCAAGGAAGUCCUCCUUGGAAAGGUCGGUAUUUAUUUUGUAGAUAUAAUUGAAGAUCUUGAUCGUGACGCCAAUCCUAAUUGCGGACUAAUUGAUUUGGUCAAUUUGUGAUUGUUUAGUGAAUAUGGAAAUUUUUGUAAUUCUUUAUAUAUUAUUUCAUUUUUUCUCUUUCAUUCUUACACUAUAAAUAGACCAAUGAACUAAUAUACAGAUCAAUCAAUAUACAACAAAAUUUUCUUCAUUUUCUCUUUUGUUUUCUAUUAUGUUAUCAGUGUCAUUCUUCCUCGCCUAGCUUCCCAUAUCUUAGAGUUGCCUUUCUUUUUUUCUUUGUUUUUUUUUUUUUUUUGGUUAUUGCAAGUCCUCAUCCUGCAAUACAAAUCAGCAAAUCGAUUAGGAAUUCAAUUUUUUUUUUCAAUACCAAGGCAAAAAAUAAGAACACUGAGAGCUCCAUGAUAGAGGAGACACCUACCUCACCUCAAAAUCAAGCCCCAUCGCCGUCGGAUUCGAUUAUGAUUUGGGACAAUAUAUUUUAAUCAUUUCGAGAUAAUCUUUAACUGAUCAUGCUCUUCCAGAUACACAGCAAUUGCGCACUUCCAAAUGCUUAUUAUGUCAAGUAACAUGACAAUCUGAUGGCAUGCAACGCAACCAAUUUUGCACUCGUUGAUGUAGAAUUUGGCGUUAAAAGGAAAAUGAUGGUUGCUCGUAUGCUCUCUGCUUAGACAUUGCUUUAUGUUAUGAAGUACCUACCAAGGCUGCGGCCAGAGAACUUGGCUAAUGCAAAGUUAUUCGACCAAGUGAAUGAAAUUGCACAAAGAAAGGGAUGCACCCCAUUGCAGUUAACCCUCGCCUGGGUACACCACUGGAGUGAUGACGUUUGCCCGAUUACCGGCACGAUCAAGAUCGAGAAUUUCAACCAGAACAUUGGAGCUCUGUCAGUGAAGCUUUCGCCAGAAGAGAUGGCCAAGCUCAAAUCGAUUGCUUAUACGGACAAUGUCAGGCGUGAGAAUUAAAACCACAUUUGAUACUAAAUUAUGCCUAGGUAGGAAUUCAAAACUCCACCUCCCGCUUUUCAUGUGGGAAGGUUGGCCCCACCUCGCGCUUAUGGAAAGAGUAAUCACGAAGACAUCACAAUAGUUCAAUUGACGUGAGCAGGUACGUCUUCCCUACAUGGUAAGGGUCGUCACUGGGCGUGCAAUUGACGUAAGCACGUGCGUCUUCACAGCCACUACCGCUCCCCUCCUACUCAUCGUAGCUUCUGCCACUACCCUCCUAUAAAUCUCGGCUCGCCCGACGACUUCGCCAUCGUCUCGGUGCAGUGCAGGGAACGAUCGAGCUCGAGCUAGACUACGGCAAUGGCGGCAUCGACGACGACGGUGAGGAGGAUCAAGCUGGGGUCGCAGGGCCUGGAGGUGUCGGCGCAGGGGCUGGGCUGCAUGAGCAUGUCCGCCUUCUACGGCCCUCCCAAGUCCGAGCCCGACAUGAUCGCCCUCAUCCACCACGCCGUCGGCUCCGGCGUCACCUUCCUCGACACCUCCGACUUCUACGGUCCUCACACCAACGAAAUCCUCCUCGGAAAGGUCGUUCUCUCAGUCUCUCUUUUGCCUCUGCAUGAAUUAUAUAUGCUUAUGGUUUUACGGAACUUAGCUUCAUCGAGCAGGAUGCUCUGAUCCUGCGCCUUGGUUUUCUGAUUUCGGGGUUGAUUUUGAGCAGGCACUGAAGGGAGGGGUGAGGCAGAAGGUGGAAUUGGCGACCAAGUUCGGAAUCAGAUUGGCGGACGGGAAGAGGGAGAUCCAGGGCGAUCCGGCGUACGUGAGGGCUGCUUGCGAGGCCAGCUUGAAGCGGCUCGACAUCGAUUGCAUCGACCUCUACUACCAGCACCGUAUCGACACUCGCGUCCCCAUUGAAGUCACUGUAUGGAUCCCUUAUCAAACUUUCACCUCGCUUGAGACUUUCUCUGAGCCAUACGAUGCAUCGUCAUGUUGUUACAAGUUUGUUGAAUUUUGUUAAAUGACACUUAAGUUCAGCUGAUAGCAGAGUUCAAGAUGCGGCACGGUGUUGUUCAAGGGUUGUGGAAUUUAGUAGUUUAGUGGCUUGAGUUUUCGUUUUGUGGGAAUCUUUUACAAGUUAAGGGUCAACAAGCAUGGAAAUUAUUCGAAAUCUUCCUUUGAGAUGAAAGUGCUCCGGGGUUCAUCCUGAAUUUAUAUACGGGAAUCACAUAUAAAGUUGUUCCUGGACUUUAUACGGAGACAUUUGAUUCUUGACAUAUUGUGAAAUAUGACAAGUACUUGGAAUACUUCUUUUAUUUGCUCUCUUCUGUGAGAGAUUCAAGAAAUCUACCUCCGUUAACUCAAUUCCUUGUGGGUUUUUUGUCGCAUUGAGAUGCAUGAUAAUUGAGGGAUCUAGACACAAAAAGCUAAUGACAAAAAUAAUUUUCUGGAUCUUAACAUGUAAGAUCUUGAUGUUGUUGUUCUGUCAUGUGAAUAUGCACAGAUCGGAGAGCUAAAGAAGCUCGUUGAAGAGGGUAAGAUAAAGUACAUCGGUUUAUCCGAGGCCUCUGCAUCAACAAUCAGAAGAGCACAUGCUGUUCAUCCCAUCACAGCAGUGCAAUUGGAGUGGUCGCUUUGGUCCAGAGAUGUGGAGGCGGACAUCGUUCCAACGUGCAGGUAGGAUAUCACUCCGUUAAUUGUUUAUGCAGCAACAACAGCUUCCUUCUGACUCUGCUUUUCCUUUAAAAUGUUGACUAGGGAGCUUGGCAUUGGAAUUGUUGCCUACAGUCCUUUAGGACGAGGAUUCUUUUCUGUUGGCUCCAAGUUGGCGGAGAAUUUCUCAAAGGAUGACUUCAGACAGGUCUGUUUCUGCUGGUCGACAUAAUUAGAUGCUCACAGUGACUGUCAUUCUCAUUGAAGUGCUGGAAACCUGUUCUUGUGGUAUAAAGAAAAGUUUCUGGAUGGGAUGAAUAAAACUUGGUGACACAAAUGCAUCACGUUCUUAUAUGUCUUCAAUCCAGCACUCGCCAGACAUACUACCUCUCUCGAUUCUAGAUAAAUGUAAAAUCACAAGUAAUGGCUUUAGUGAGCCUGAAAGAGGUAGGUUCCCGGAUUCUCAUUCUUUUGGGAAUGAAUACAUAUAGGUUUAUAUGUAAGUUGCUCUGUUUCCCAGCCUUCCCAACAUUUGCUUAUCACUAUCCUUUCCCCACUUUCCACCCACCCUUUUUCUCUCAUCUUUCUUCACAAGAUUAGCGAUAUUUCCUCGAAAUAACUGACGCCAGUAUCGGGCUCUGGCCUUCCGUCCUUUUUCAUUCUCAUCUUUCUUCACAAGAUAAACUAUAUCUUGACACAACCAUUUCUUGAGUGAGGACUCACGACACCCUUCUUAUGAGAGUUUUGGAUCAAGUUCCCAUCUGACAUAAAGCCAAUUGUGUAUUACUCCCUGCCAUUAGCGUUUGACUAGCGAUAGCGCUGGGCAAGUGAAGUAGCUAUUUUUCUUUGUAGCUAAAAGAGCUCUGCGUCUGAUAACAUUCUUCUACACAUCAUCUACAUUUCUGAUUUUUUAUUUUAUGUGUGACUAAUGGUAUCAUCACACGUACAAAACUUAGAUUGUCGAGUUUGUUUCUGUUUUCACAUCCUACAUCAAGCCCAUCAGCCUUGUGUGGUAGUUGCUAGAUCACUUCGCUUGACGUUUCUAAUGCUUAUGAUUUGGGACAUGAUAUUUUAAUCAUUUCAAGAUUAUUUAUAACUGAUCAUGCUUAUCCAGAUAGACAACGAUUGCACACUUCUAAAUGCUUAUUAUGUCAAGUAACAAGACAAUCUGAUGGCAUGCAAUGCAACCACUUUUGCACUUGUUGCUGUAGAAUUUAGCCUUAAAAGGAAAAUGAUAAUUGCAAUUGCUUUCUGCUGAGACAUUGCUCUAUGUUAUGCAGUAUCAUCCAAGGUUCCAGCCAGAGAACUUGGCUCACAACACGAAGUUAUUUGACCGAGUGAAUGAAAUUGCGCAAAGAAAGGGAUGCACCCCAUCUCAGUUAGCCCUGGCCUGGGUACACCACCAUGGUGACGACAUUUGCCCGAUUCCCGGCACAACCAAGAUCGAGAAUUUCAACCAGAACAUUGGAGCUCUGUCAGUGAAGCUUACACAGGAAGAGAUGGCCGAGCUUGAAUUGAUUGCUUCUGCGGACAAUGUCAAGGGUGGCAGGUAUGAUGGAAGCAUAUCUACAUGGGAAAACUCCGACACUCCACCCCUUUCUUCUUGGAAACCUGCCUAGAAGCGUGUCUGCUUCUGUUGCUGCAUCUUUGAUGUGCAGAGUUUGAGCAUUUGCCGCUGAAGUAAUUUGAGUUGAUGUUGUGUGGCUGUUAUAAGUAUGUGUAAUAAGAGAGUGACUGUUUUCAUUUUGUACAUGUGACAUUCACUAUGAGAAGAUUAUGGAUGUGUACUAACCUUACUGGGGAAAGAUCACUCGAUAAACACGAGAGCGAGUUGAAUAUGAACUGAGCCUGCCUUGUCGACUUUAUGGGGUGACUUUUAGAAUCAAUUGGGAUUUUGAAGAAUUCAAACUCAGUCGUACAUACCGCUGGAAAUAUGGCUUCGAAAUUGGGUAGAACAAUGAAAUCGGAUCGAGUAAAAUAACUCGGACUUUGAGGCGCGAUAUCACUUUCUUUAAGGAUUUAUUUACCCCACAACGUUGCUAAUGGUCACCAGCAAAAAUCCUCCAGGAUACAACAAAGUCUCGGAUGAGAAUACUAGAUAGCAAUUCAAGUAUUUCUCCAGGGUCUCUCUAAGAAACAAUCGAAAAAUUGGAUGCUGUUUUUCAGAAAGGAAUACUCGAAAAUGACACUCUUUUUCUUUCCGAAAAUGAUAGAUAUAUAUAUGAAACAGUCUUGCNNNNNNNNNNNNNNNNNNNNNNNNNNNNNNNNNNNNNNNNNNNNNNNNNNNNNNNNNNNNNNNNNNNNNNNNNNNNNNNNNNNNNNNNNNNNNNNNNNNNUUUUUUUUUUUUAUUUCUUAUUUUUGUUCCAAAGUUGCUCUCACAAUAAAAAAAAAAAAGACCAGAAUAAAAGUAUAAACAAAUGAGUUUCUGUUCUUUUUUGGUUCUCUAGAACAAAAUAAUAAAAAUUUAUAUUUCGGGAAAAAAAAUAAUUUUAAAUGAACACACCCUAAGAUAUCUUUUGUAUUCCGGGGAAGUAGUUCAAUUGACGUGAGCCCGUGCGUCUUCCCUACAUGGGAAGGGUCGUCGCUGGGUCUCAUCUGACCUAAGCAAGCGCGUCUUCACAGCUAUUACCGCUCCCCUCCUACACUUCGUAGCUACCGCCACUCCCCUCCUAUAAAUCUCGGCUCGCCCGACGCCUUCGCCAUCGUCUCGGUGCAGUGCAGGGAACGAGCGAGCUCGAGCUAGACGACGGCAAUGGCGGCUUCGACGACGACGGUGAGGAGGAUCAAGCUGGGGUCGCAGGGCCUCGAGGUGUCGGCGCAGGGGCUGGGCUGCAUGAGCAUGUCCGCCUUCUACGGCCCUCCCAAGUCCGAGCCCGACAUGAUCGCCCUCAUCCACCACGCCGUCGGCUCCGGCGUCACCUUCCUCGACACCUCCGACGUCUACGGUCCUCACACCAACGAAAUCCUCCUCGGAAAGGUCGUUCUCUCAGUCUCUGUUUUGCGUCCGCAUGAAUUAUAUGUGCUUAUAGUGUUACGGAAUUUGGCUUCAUCGAGCAGAGUGCUCUGAUCCCGCGCCUUGGUUUUCUGAUUUCGGGGUUGAUUUUGAGCAGGCACUGAAGGGAGGGGUGAGGCAGAAGGUGGAAUUGGCGACCAAGUUCGGAAUCAGCUUCGCGGACGGGAAGAGGGAGGUCCGGGGCGAUCCGGCGUACGUGAGGGCGGCUUGCGAGGCCAGCUUGAAGCGGCUUGACAUCGAUUGCAUCGACCUCUACUACCAACAUCGCAUCGACACUCGCGUCCCCAUCGAAGUCACUGUAUGGAUCCCCCAUCAAACUUUCACCUCGCUUGAGACUUUCUCCGAGCCAUAUGAUUAGUUGCUAAGUUAGAUUGGUGUUGAUGAUGCAUCGUCAUGUUGUUACAAGUUUGUUGAAAUUUGUUAAAUGACACUUAAGUUCGGCUGAUAGCAGAGUUCAAGAUGCGGCACGUUGUUGUUCAAGGGGUUGUGGAAUUUAGUAGUUUAGUGGCUUGAGUUUUCGUUUUGUGGGCAUCUUUUACAAGUUAAGGGUCAACAAGCAUGAAAAUUAUUCAAAAUCUUCCUUUGAGAUGAAAGUGCUCCAGGGUUCAUCCAGAAUUUAUAUACGGGAAUCACAUAUAAAGUUGUUCCUGGACUUUAUGUGGAGACAUUUGAUUCUUAACAUAUUGUGAAAUAUGUCGAGUACUUGGAAUACUUAUUUUAUUUGCUCUCUUCUGUGAGAGAUUCAAGAAAUCUACCUCCGUUAACUCAAUACCUUGUGACUUUUUUGUCGCAUUGAGAUGCAUGAUAAUAGAGGGAUCUAGACGCAUAAAAAGCUAAUGACAUGCAUAAUUUUCUGGAUCUUAACAUGUAAGAUCUUGAUGUUGUUGUUCUGUCAUGUGAAUAUGCACAGAUCGGAGAGCUAAAGAAGCUCGUUGAAGAAGGUAAGAUAAAGUACAUCGGUUUAUCCGAGGCCUCUGCAUCAACAAUCAGAAGAGCACAUGCUGUUCAUCCCAUCACAGCAGUGCAAUUGGAGUGGUCGCUUUGGUCAAGAGAUGUGGAGGCAGAGAUCGUUCCAACGUGCAGGUAGGAUAUCACUCUGUUAAUUGUUUAUGCAGCAACAACAGCUUCCUUCUGACUCUGCUUUUCCUUUAAAAUGCUGACUAGGGAGCUUGGCAUUGGAAUUGUUGCCUACAGUCCUUUAGGACGAGGAUUCUUUUCUGUUGGCUCCAAGUUGGUGGAGAAUAUCUCUAAGGAUGACUUCAGACAGGUCUGUUCCUGCUUGUCAACAUAAUUAGAUGCUUACAUCAACUGUCAUUCUUAUUGAAGUGCUGGAAACCUGUUCUUGUGGUAUAAAGAAAAAGUAUCUGGAUGGGAUGAAUAAAACUUGGUGACACGAAUGCUUUGUGUUCUUAUAUGUCUUUAAUCCAGCACUUGCCAGACAUCCCACCUCUCUUGAUUCUAGAUAAAUGUAAAAUCACAAGUAAUGGCUUUAAUGAGCCUGAAAGAGGCAGUUUUCUGGAUUCUCGUGCUUUUGGGAAUGAAUACAUAUAGGUUUAUUUGUAAGUUGCUCUGUUUCCCAGCCUUCCCACCAUUUGCUAAUCACUAUCCUCUCCCCACUUUCCACCCACCCUUUUUCUCUCAUCUUUCUUCACAAGAUUAGCGAUAUUUCCUCAAAAUAGCUGACGCCAGUAGCGGGCUUUGGCCCUCCGUCCUUUUUCAUUCUCAUCUUUCUUCACAAGAUAAACUAUAUCUUGACACAACCAUUUCUUGAGUAAGGACUCCUAGCACCCUUCUUAUGAGAGUUUUGGAUCAAGUUCCCAUCUGACAUAAAGCCAAUUGAGUAUUACUCCCCGCCAUUAGCAUUUGACUAGCGAUAGUGCUGGGCAAGUGAAGUAGCUAUUUUUCUUUGUAGCUAAAAGAGCUCUGCGUCUGAUAACAUUCUUCUACACAUCAUCUACAUUUCUGAUAUUUAUUUUAUGUGUGACUAAUGGUAUCAUCACACAUACAAAACUUAGAUUGUCGAGUUUGUUUCUGUUUUCACAUCCUACAUCAAACCCAUCAGCCUUGUGUGGUAGUUUCUAGAUCACUUCGCUUGACGUUUCUAAUGCUUAUGAUUUGGGACAAGAUAUUUUAAUCAUGUCAAGAUAAUUUAUAACUGAUCAUGCUUUUCCAGAUACACAACGAUUGCGCACUUCUAAUGCUUAUUAUGUCAAGUAACAAGACAAUCCGAUGGCAUGCAAUGCAACCACUUUUGCACUCGUUGCUGUAGAAUCUAGCCUUAAAAGGAAAAUGAUAAUUGCUCAUAUGCUCUCUGCUGAGACAUUGCUCUAUGUUAUGCAGUAUCUACCAAGGUUCCGGCCAGAGAACUUGGCUCACAACACGAAGUUAUUUGACCGAGUGAAUGAAAUUGCGCAAAGAAAGGGAUGCACCACAUCGCAGUUAGCCCUGGCCUGGGUAUACCACCAGCGUGAUGAUGUUUGCCCAAUUCCCGGCACGACCAAGAUCGAGAAUUUCAACCAGAACACUGGAGCUAUGUCAGUGAAGCUUACACCGGAAGAGAUGGCCGAGCUUGAAUCGAUUGCUUCUGCGGACAAUGUCAAGGGUGGCAGGUACGAUGGAAGCAUGUCUACAUGGGAAAACUCCGACACUCCACCCCUUUCUUCUUGGAAACCUGCCUAGAAGCGUGUCUGCUUCUGUUGCUGCAUCUUUGAUGUGCAGAGUUUGAGCAUUUGCCGCUGAAGUAAUUUGAGUUUAUGUUAUGUGGCUGUUAUAAGUACGUGUAAUAAGAGAGUGACUGUUUUCAUUUUGUACAUGUGAUAUUCACUAUGAGAAGAUUAUGGAUGUGUACUAACCUUACUGGGGAAAGAGCACUCGAUAAACACGAGAGCGAGUUGAAUACGAACUGAGCCCGCCGUGCCGACUUUAUUGGGGUGACUUUUAGAAACU